rnacentral:lncRNA from 1 species
GCCAUCAAUCUCGAGAGCAUAAACAAUCUCGUCCAUUAGUUAUACCAACAUAGGACCAUGGCGGCUUUUGUUACAUUCUUUCAUAACUAAACCUUCCAUGAUCACAUACAUUAGUCCAACCAAAUGACAUAAAUCAGUUAUGAAACAUGUGGCAUGAAAAUCACAUGAAAUGUGAUCUGUACAUGUCGAUUUUUAACUAGUCCAAAUUUAAUGAGAUCAAUUUAACCUUAUGGUACAAAGUGUAUGUCGAAGACUUUAAACUUUAUUUCUGAUCAGAAAAAUGUGCAUAACACAACCAACGCAUAGAACAUAAACCAAAUGACAAACUCCCACUAAACCGAAUGAUCCUCAGACACCGAAAUACCCAUACGAGCAGUAUGCUCAUGAAGGAUCUUAGGUACAAUACAUUUUGUUAGAGGAUCUGCAAUCAUAGAGUUCGCCUCUAAGUGUUAUAUGGUAAACUUUACACUUUGUACCCAUUCCUUAACAACUCGGUACUUGAUGUUUACAAAUUUAGACUUUACCGAACUCCUACUGUUUUGGAAUACAAAACGGCUGCCUUAUUGUCACAGUAGAACUUGAGUGGUCUUUCAAUUCCUUCAAGAAUCUUUAGGCCUGUGACAAAAAUUCUCAGCUAAAUUCUCUCAGUUGAUGUCUUGUAGACUGCUACCAGUUCUGUCGCCAUUGUGGACAUUGUUACGUGUGAUUUCUUAGCACUACGUCAUGAGAUCUCCCCUCCGGCCAACAGUAAAACAUAACCUAAUGUAGACUUUUUAUUAUCUUAGCAUCCCACAAAAUCAGAGUCAGAAUACCCAACGAUCUCCAAAUUAUCUGAUCUCUGAUAUGUGAGUAUACGGCCUUUUGUUCUCUGCAAGUAACGCAUGACCUUUUUGGCUGCUUUCCAAUGGUCCAUGCCCGGAUUACUUAAGUAUCUGCCUAACACUCCAACAAUAUACGCAAUAUCCGGACGCGUACAAACUUGAGCAUACAUAAGAUUCCCUACUGCCAAUGCAUAAGGGAUCUUCUGCAUCUUCUGAAUUUCUAGUUUUCCCUUAGGGAAUUGUUCGAGACAAAACUUGUCUCCCUUAGCGAUUGGGGUAUCUCCUGGUUUGCCAUCAUGCAUGCCAAAUAUUUUCAGAUAAAGAUAUAGCUCUUUUGUGAUAAUCCAAGAAUUUCUCGAGACGAUCUCGAUGAAUCUCGAUCCCUAAUACAAAAGAUGCCUCACCAAGAUCUUUCAUCUCAAAAUUUCCCUUAAGAAAUCUCUUGGUUUCAACCAGCAUGCUAAUAUCGUUAGUGGCCAGAAGUAUGUCAUCGACAUAUAAAACCAGGAAAAUAUAUUUACUCCCACUGAAAUUUUGAUAAACACAAUCAUCAACCAAAUUCACCUCAAAACCAAAGGAGGUGAUAACCAUAUGAAAGUUGUGGUACCAUUGACUGGAAGUUUGUUUUAGACAAUAGAUGGAUUUCUUUAAUUUACAAACCAUAUCUUUUGCAUCACCUUAGGAAAAAUGUUCUGGUUGUACCAUAUGAUUUAUAUCUUCAAUGUCUCCAUUGAGAAACGAUGUCUUAACAUCCAUCUGAUGAAGCUCCUUAUCAUAAUGUGCAACAAGGGCCAUGAUUAUCCUAAAAGAAUCCUUCGAAGAUACCGGAGAGAAGGUUUUUUUAUAAUCAAUCCCCUCUUUCUGAGUAUAUCCUUUAGCCACUAGACGAGCCUUAUAUCAUAUCACAUUACCAUUGGAAUCAUGCUUGGUUUUAAAUAUCCAUUUGCAACCAACGGGUUUCUUUCCUUCUGGUAAUUUAACGAUUUACCAAACCUCAUUGUCUAGGAUUGACUGAUACUCUUCUUUUGCUGCUUCGAGCCACAUAUCCGACAUGGAACAACUCAUAGCCUGAAGGAACGUGAUUGGAUCAUCUUCCAAAAGAUUUUGAUUUUCCUCAUGUUCCAUUAGAAAUACUAUAUAAUCAUCUGGAAUAGCAUUUCUCCUAACUCGGGUGGAUCGCCUAAGAGCAACUUGAUCUUGUUGUACUGGUUCUUGAGGAUUUUGAUUUUGACCUUCUUGUACGAUAUCAUCGACAACCUGAGUUCGAGGGACGACAUUAUUAUCAACCUGAGGAUCCAAAUUUACUUCAUCAGAAGUAACUAGACGAAUCGGUAUAGGUACCAGAGCCGAUUCUUCCUCAAAGAUGAUAUCCUUAACCUUAUUUCUCCCCCCAAACCCCAAAAUCAAUACCCUCAAAGAACGUAGCUAUUCCCGUCUCAAAAAUAUUUUUAGCAGUGGGAUCAUAAAACUUAUACCUCCUUGAGCGCUCCGAAUAACCAAUAAAAUAACUGCUAAAUGUUCUUGAGUCCAUUUUCUUUUCAUACGGCUUAUAAGGCCUUCCCUCAGCUGGACAUCCCCAUAUCCGAAGGUGCUUUAGACUAGGCUUUCGACCAGUCCAAAGCUCAUAAGGGGUUUUAGCAGUUGCUUUAGUUGGUACCCUAUUAAGAAUGUAUAUUGCAGUCUUUAGUGCAUUUCCCCAGAGUGAUUCAGGCAAGGAGGAAUGACUAAUCAUACUCCUCCACAUGUCUUUAAGAGUGUGAUUCCUUCUCUCAGACACACCAUUCAUGCUAGGCGUCCCCGGCAUGGUGUACUUAGGCACAAUACCACACUCCUCUAGGUAUCUGGUAAAUGGUCAUGGACGUUGUUCACCUGAGCCAUCAUACCGACCGUAGUAUUCACCACCAGGAUCAGAUCUGACAAACUUAUCCUUCGGUCGAGUUGGUUCUCAACCUCAGCCUUUAACCUUUUGAACAUGUCCAGAGAUUCCGAUUUUCCAUGAAUGAGAAAUAGGUAUGCAUAUCGAGAAUAAUCGUCAAUGAAUGAUAUAAAGUAUUGUUGACCAUUCCAAGAAACUGCAGGGAACAGUCCACAAAUAUCCGUAUGUAUCAACUCAAGGACUUCCGUAGCUCUAUAUGCACCUAAUCUCUUAUGUUUGUUAUGUUUUCCUUUAAUGCAAUCCGCACAUAUAUCACAAUCUGUGAACUUUAUGGAACUUAAUAUACCUUCUGAUACAAGACGCUCAACUCUAUUUCUAGAGAUGUUACCUAGGCGUUUGUGCCAAAGAGUUCCUGAUUUUGUAUCUUCGAACUUUCGUUUAGUACCUCUUGAUUCAACAUUUAAACUUUCAUCCUUAGAGUUUAUAAUGUCAAGCAUGUAAAGACUGUAAUUUUCCAAAAGUUUACCGGUCCCAAUAAGUACUGAAUUUAAAGACAAAGUAGCGGUUUUUUUCUCUGUUAGACAAAAAUAACGUGAGUUGUCUAACCCAUGACCAGAAACCAAAUUACGUCUAAAAGACGGUACAAUAAAGUGUCUUUCAAAUCUAGAAAAUGACCGGAACUAAAAAACUGUCUAAAAUACGUGAUUGCCUUCACAUGCACCGGACUCCCAUUAGCCACAUGAAUGCAUCUUUCAGCAUCAGUUGGGGUUCGAUACCUUAGGCAUCCCUGAAGUGAAACACUGAUGUUAGUAGUAGCACAGGAGUCUAACCACCAAGUGUUUCUAGGUACUUCAACCAAGUUCGUUUUCGAACAGACUAAAGCAAGGAACAUAUCUUUUUAGCACGCCAAACGUGAUACUUAGGGCAUUCCUUCUUUAUGUGUCCACCCUUCCUGAAAAAGAAACAUGUAUCUUCAACCUUAGCAUGUUUCUUUUGGGUAGGACCCUUAGCAGCAUCAUCCUUAACGGGUUCAAAUUUCUUUAUUUUGCCCUGUCUCUUAGAGGUGUAAACCAUAUGAGCACUUUCAGUCCUCUCUUGUUUCAUUCUCUCUUCCUCUUGCACACAAUACCCAAUGAGCUCGUUAAGAGACCAUUUCUCCUUAUGUGUGUUAUAAUUUGAUUUCAGCUGAUUGAACUGAGGAGGAAGAGAGUUCAAGACAAAUAAUAUGAGCAAUUCAGCCGGAAGCUCAGUAGUAAGUGUAUUGAGUUUUGAAACAAUGUUGGACAUCUCCAAAAUGUACUCCCUUAUUUUUCCAUUGCCAUGGUACCUCAUCAUACUAAAGCAAUGCAAAAGCAUACUUAUUUCCGCCUUAUCGCUUCUUGAUAUAUGGUGUUUUAUACAUCUUGUAUAUAUGCUUUUCAAUUGGUUUUCAAUUCUUUAUCGAGUCUUCGUAGUCCUUUUCGAGUCAUUACAGGUCUGGAGUUGCAUUGGAUGGGAGAUGGACCAGUUGGAACAAAAGAGGCAGCAAAAAGUGCAAUUUGGUGAUUUUCACGCAGAACAGUCUUGAUGACUGUUCCGGAUAGCGGAGCAACCCGAGUGACUGUUCCGAGUGUCUGUUCCAGGGGCAGAGAUUUUUAAGGAAACUAAAACCUAUUUCAGAAUUUACCCUAAUCUCUCUAUUUUCUCUCCCAGUCGCUUGUGGCUUUGAUAUAUCUUCUUUUUCUAUUUCUUCUGAUUAUUCUACGCUGUUUUAGACAUAAGAAACCAGACCUUAGAGUUGGAGACUGGAGAUUUUGCUACUUUGUAAAGGGAGAAGGCCAUCUCUCUCGAUUUAGAGAAGAACCCCUUGAACCCUAUUACUUUAUUUCAGUCAUAUUUCAUGUUGCUUUAUAUCUCUGUCUCUAUGUUUUUUUGCUCCAUGGCUGAGUAGUCAGCUUGCUUAGUCUAGGGUGUUAGGGUGUUAGAUCCGUGAGCUUGACAUAAAUAAGUUAUAAAUCGAUUGUCUUUAUUCACUGUUGUUCUUAAGGCUUGCAUCAAGUUAACCACUUAGUGCCUGAUUCUAGGUUUAAUCUAUUCAUCAAAAGUGUUAUAGGUUGCUAGACAUAACUUGAAUGAGCAUUGCAUCCCUAACCAGCGAAAGUAGAUGUUAGGGUGUUUUGUGAACAUAUUGGACUUGACCUCUAUUGCUUGCUGUCGCAUCUUGAUCCAAACGAGAGUUUAGGUAUCAAGAUCGAUCAGCAUAGGGAGCAGUACCAUGACAGUGGGCUGUUCUACUUGAGUGAUCCGAGUUCUAGACUUGCUCUUAAUUAAACUUGAAUAAUUGUUUGGCUCACACUUGCUUAACACCCGAUCAAACCACCCUAGGCUAGCAUUUUUAAUUAUCUGAAUUCUUUAAUUAAUCUUGUUACUUGUUUCUCACGAAACCCUCAAAUCUUAAAAUCCCCAUAUUGUUUUAGCUUGAUAUUGAUCCCAUAAAAAUAAAGUGUAACCGUUGGUCUCUGUGGAUUCGAUCCUAAAGUGCUACAUCGACAUACCAUUCGAUUGUGGUAGUGUGCACAUUAGGUUAAUUGGUGUGCGUAUACACGUAAUAUCACUUCUUGUGAAGCGCAAAUCCAUUUCGGCAAGGAACUGUUUGAGAUCAUUGAUCUCCCCAUCACGUCUAAAGGUUUCUGGAAUGAUGUCCUUAACGAUCAUCAAACCCAUGCGAUUUGAACGCUCCUACUUCUCAUGAACAGACUUAUAUUCCUAAGUGAUGUCAUCCGUAGGAGAAGCAGGUUUGUCCAUCCUUAGCGCAAGGUCGAGAUCCAUACACCCUAGAACAAUCUUAACUUUACUUUUCCAUUCGAAAAAAUUAGAAUCCGUAAGUGUUGGAAUAGAUCCUAAGUUGGCAGAUAAAGUAGCUGAAAAGAGAACAAAAUCCGAAUUAAUUACUCACUAUCCGAAGAAAUCAAUAAUAAAUUUUAACGGAUUAUACUUCCCAUCCAAGAUACCAAAUGUAACAUCAAUAUCAAGUCUUUGGACAGUAAUAUCGACUAUUAGCGGUACUCUUGUUGUAAUGAUCAAAUACUGACCAUAAUUCAUGAUAAACAAUAAACCUUCAUUUGGGCCGAUUUAUCAUUCACAUGUUAAAAAGCUAUAUAAUCGUCAUGUAUUCACCAUCACACAUGUAUGUACAAUUCGGCCAAACAUUAAACCUUCUUUGGGCCGAUUUGACAUCCACAUGAAUAUUGCACAUAUGUAUAUAUGUAAACCCGACCAAAUACAACCUUUCUUUGGGCCGAUUGAAUAUUCACAUGAAUUUACAUAUAUACUUCCUUUAAUAAUUCUCUUAAAAAAUCUUAUUAAGAGAGGUCUUCCUUUGGACUGACAUCUUAAUUUAAUUAAUUAAUUAAAUUAUUAAAGAUGCAUUAUCAAAUUUAUUAGUUGAUUUAAAACUGAAUUUUAUUCUUGCGCAGACAGAUAACUAGAAGUCUGUGGGCUCUAUAUACAAAAAUACUAAAGCGGGAGAAUGGUUCGAGACAUGGCAGUGGGCGCCAGCUUCACACACGACCUUUGUUUGAAACCAACUUUAUGCGCUUUUUAACUUAAUUAAAAGCUGGACGGGCCUGACUUAAAGUUUGUUCCAAACUGGCCCAACUGAUUUAAAACAAAAGAAAUUAGGCCAAAAUAAUUAAAUUUGCAAGCCCAAAAUAAUUAAUUAAAUCAGAAACUGGAUAUGGGCCAAAUAACAAAACAUGCCUACCACGGAUUUAUCUCCAACCUAGGGUUUUCAUGAUAACCUCAAACAGGUUUUUUCAGCCGCCAAGACCCAAAAAAAACGGAUCUGAGAACAGAUCUGGAAAAAUUGUUCCUCAAAAAAUUCUGAAAAUUUUCAUUAAAAUUCUCAAUAAACCAUAACCUUAUAGACACUAUUUUUCCAGAACUAAAUCCACAAACUUUAUUUAGAUCUGAAUUUAAAUGUUUUCCACUAGAUAACAACCAAAGAUCUAGAUCCAAACAUGCCAAACAAUUCAGAUCUAACACAAAUCCCAGAAUACUUUAUCUAUCUUAAACCUUAGAGAAAAAAAACAGAUUCAACAAUCCAAUAUUUACACACAAUAAUAAAAUCCAAAUUUAUAUUAUGAACUUUAAAUAAAUUCGAAUUUCCUUUAGAUCCAAACAAAAAAUCAACAUGGUGCUCUGAUACCAAUUGUUAGAUUUAAUUCUCUAUAAUUAAUCAAUAUGAAUCCUUUAACCAUAUGAAUCUAUGAUUAUAUAGGCUUAAGCGGAAGCGUACCUGAUGUAUCCAUUGCUUAUAGGAUCUGAAGUUAGGGAAUGGAUCUUCCAAGUCAAACUCUAUGUGACUUUAGUUUUCUAUUGAUGGGAUAUAGAGAAAUUAUGUAUUUUCGGCUAGGGUUUCCUUGGAGACCAAAACCCUCUUUAUAUAGAGUAUAUUAAUUUUUAGUUCAGCCCUUCACUAAACUAGAAAUUACUUAAGGUACCCCAUAUAAAUAUUUCAUAACACUUAUGCCCAAGCAUUUACCUUAUUCACAAUAGUGACCACUUAAAUAGGCUAAUUGAUUAAUGGUCCUAUCAUAUUUAUUUCUUAACAUAUGUGACCCCACCAAAUGAUCUUACAAUAGUUAUAUAAAUUCAAAAUCAGGAAGAAAAAACUAAACAAAGGGGAGAAAGUAAGAUAUAAAUUGUUUAUAAAGAGAAACCAAUCAAACCAUGGCUGACUUCACUUGGAACCUCCUUCAUCCAACUUUGUUGUUAGCAUUCAUUUUUUCCUGGGAAGUGGCAAAAACCUCCUUCAUCCUUUGUUAAAUGCAAUGUGGGAUCAUCUUGGGAUGAGAGUUCAAAAAUAGAAGGGGGUGCUUGUAUUGUACGUGAUGAGAAAGGUUGGUUUUGUUCCACAACAUAAGGUCUUUUUCUCAAACUGGAUCUUCCUCCCAAGCUAACUUGGUAGCACAGUGGGCUGCAGCAGCCAUGUGCGACCUCAAGCUUUAAAAUGUAAUUAUGGAGUUCUCGUCUUCAGAAGUCAAAAAAUCUAUGGAGCAUUCACUUGUGUCCUUAGGCGAUUAUCAAAGCUGUUCCUUAAUUUACGCUAUAUACGAUACAUUCCAUUGUGGAAGACAGUUUGAAUUUUGUCCCGGUCUCCUGUAACAACUUAGCCAAUAUGAUUACGAGAGAUCAUAAACAUCAGUCGUAUGUAGCUCUUCACGGUCCUGUGUGGUUGGCAUCUCUGAUUCGCCAGGAAGCAUUAGCUUAAGGAGUUCCAUGUUCUGAUGGGUAGCUGUGCUUUGGUUUCCUUUCUUUAAGGCUCUGUUUUUUUUCUCUCCUAUUGGAGUUGGUUUUAGUUCUGCUCGAUACUCUAUGUUGUUUAUCCCUUGUCGUUUGGCUGGGACAGAACUUUAUUAUCCUUAAUGACAAAAAAAAGAGUUACAGCUACCGACGCAUUUUGAAAAGAACAUGUUAUCAUUGAUGUUAGAGGUGAAAUUCAGCCUGCUUUAUACCCGGUCCGAGCCUGAGUCAAAAUUCUCCAGACUCACUACAAAAUAACAGGCUCACAAAAAUCUAAGGCCCAUGCCAAGCUCAACAAACGGUUCAUGCAGAGCUAACACAAUCAAACCACAGUGUAAUACGGUUCAAAGGAAUAAAGGCACAUGAUACUCGUCAGAGAUCACAUGGCCGUUCCGAGCGACUCUUGACCUAUAAAAACAAAACCAAAGACAGAAGAAAAGGAGGGAAUUGUCCUAGAGCAAUACUUUUUUUUUGUUCUUAGAUACCUACUGCAUUUGUACUCGUUUUUACUCGUAUUAUCAAUAAGAUACACUUUUUUUUUAUAAUAUCGUCAAUAUGUAAAUCUUUUAUACAUUUCUUCCUAGACGCGUAAUCGAAACUGAAAUAGAUUUUGACAUCCAUCAAUUGAUUCAGUUACAUAUAAAAUACACUUUUACAAGAAACCCAUAGGAAACUUGUAUCUUAAGCUAUUGGGAAAAUAUGAAAUCUCGCCAUUGUUUUAUGUUCAAUAAGAUUUCCUCGAGUCUUUAAGAUGAUUGCAAAGAAAAACUAUAGGGAAUUAAUUAAAUGAAUGGUUGGUUGGUCAGGAUACAUGAUCAUCAACACCGGCGGAUUGAAAGCUAGGGUAUGAGCUUUCUUCGUGCAGUGUAAAUGGCGUGGUCUCAAACAUUUUUACAAGAUGAUAGGAAUAAUGUAAAAAAAAAUUAAAUCUUAGGUUAAUGGUUAACCGAAAAGCUCUGUAUCCACUUUUGGUAUUGGCUGGAUUGGUUAUAAACAUAUGAUAAAAAGUGUUUUUAAUAUUUAAAUUUAAUUUUAUUUUGUGCUUUUAAAGCAUGAGUAUAGGUUUUCAACUGACAAAAAAUAUAUUUAAUAAAAAUUAAAUUGUUUACUAAAUUUGUAUUCUUUUUUAAAAUAUGACUUAAAAUUUCAAGUGAAAUACAAAAAUAACCCAUGUUUUUUAAAACUUUCAUUUUCCCUAUUCAGCCUAGAAGUUUGAGUUAUUCACAAAAAUGCCAUUAUUAUUUUCUUUCUUUCUUUUUUUUCGAAAAUGAGUCUUUUACUUUAUCAUCUUCAUCUUCCCCAAGUAUUUACAAUGUUGACAUUGUUAUCAAUACAUUAAUCACUAUGAACAACCAAUUUGAAACUCUUAAUGCACCAAAGUUUCGGUUUUAACUUAUUAUGUCUCAUUACUUAUGCACACAAAUCACAUCUCUCUCACUCUCUCUUCAAAUUCAUCAAAAAAAAACAAGAUUUUGAUUCCAAGAUUUGUAAGGUUCAUAGAGAUAUUGAAGCUCAUGAUUCGUGGUCAUUAACGAAUUGGUAGCUUUUGUAGUGAAGUUUUGGGUGCUUGGAGAAGCUAAGCAAGUCAUCUCACAUGUUCAAGGUAUGCAAUCGUUUUUUUUUUCAGAAGACUUUAAGAAAACUUCAGAAAUACUUUCAGAAGACUUCGCUAGAUGUGUUAUCCAUCAAGAAGACUUUGCUAGAUGUGUUCUCCAUCAAGAAGACUUUUCUAGAAGUCUUCUAACUUUCCUUUAUUAACAAAAAAAAAAAGCAAAAAAUCCCGGAUAAACAUGUUAGUUUUGCAAUUGACCGAAAUUUGUCAGAAAUUUGACUUUUAAUGGAAGACUUUUCGGGAAAUCUUUUCGAGAAAAACUUUUAUAGAAGUAUUCUGUAAGUUUUCCCGAAGUCUUCUCACUGUCGUAAGAAGUUUGCGUGGGUUACUUUUGCAAUUGAAAAAUAAUAGUAAAAAUUUUAAUAUUAAUGAGAAGACUUCUCUAGAAAAGUCAAAUAUAGUCAAUUUCAAAAGUAUCCCAUGUAGACUUCUUGCGACAUUGAGAAGUCUUUAUAAAAAGUCAAAUAUCUGACAAACUUCGGUCAAUUGCAAAACUAACAUAUUUAUUCGAGAAGUCUUCUUUGGCAUUUUCAAUUUUUUUUUGAAAUUCAAAAGUAAGCCCAUUUACAAAGGAAUGCUUUUCAACAUGUCUUCAAUAGAGUAGACUUCCUAAGAUGUCUUCCUUCGUAAAUUUGCAAUUGCAAAAAUGACAUAAACAAAAGACUUCUAUAGAAGUCUUCUACGUUAAUGUUUAAUAAACCUUCAUUUUCUCUACAAUUAAAAUGAUAUUUUAAUACUUUCUUAUUUAUUCAUGUGUAUUAGUCAAUAUUGGAGCACUUUGAUGAAAUUCAUAACUUAUUUGGUGAUAAUUAUGAGAUUUCAAAUAUUUAUGUUUACUAAUGUUUCUAACUAAUCCGAGAAAACUUCUUAAGAAGUCUUCAGUUUUCUACGUUUGAUUUUCAAGAGUGUUAAGUAACUUCAAGAAUAUCAUGUCAUGUGGUUUAAUGUAUCUUUUAGAUCAUAAGAUAUACUUUUUAACUUACAUAAGAUUUAAAAUUUCAACUUUUACUUAAAAUUCAAAUUUGAUAUUUUGUGAAUUUGACUAAGUUUUCAUGUGAAGUCUUCUCUCUUAGUUUUAGUAAAUUUGACUAAGUUUUAAUUGGUAUGUUAAUAAAUUCAUUAAUGUCAAGUACUUUUGGCAAAACAUGAACAUAUUCACCAAAUUGUUUUGAUUAACAUCUCUUCAAGUUUACAAAAGAAUUCACAACUAAAAUAGUACACAUACAGAUCAUAAAACAAGACUUAAAACAAAACUAUUACACAUGGAGCUAGAUAUCAUUCUUCAACAAAGAUAAGCUUGGCGGACUCCAGUUGACAUCAUUCCUUUGUACCAUUUUGGGCAGAAGACUUUGGAAGACUUCCUGAAGACUUGGUGGGAAGUCUUCUAGCAAUAAAUUCAUUAGCAAGAAGUCUUUUAAGAGUCUUCCGAGAUUCUUCUAAGAGUCUUCUAAAAAGUCUUCCAAAGUCUGAUUCAGAUCUGGAAAAAAAUCUACAUAUUUAAAAGCGUUCAAAUGGCCUUAAAACAAAGAAAGCUUCAAAAAACAUUUUAUACUUAAAUAAUUAACAAAACAAUCACAUUCAGUUGUUUCUAUAACUUUUUAGAAUCUAAUAUAUAAAACACACAAAAUACAUAUCCAAAAUUUAUACCACUUUGGGCAUAAAACUUCGGAAGACUUCGCAAGAAGUCUUCCUAGAGUCUUCUAAGAAUUUUUCCAAAGUCUGACUCAAAUAUGAAAAAUUUGCAUAUCCAAAAACAUUCAAAUGGCUUCAAAACAGAGAAAACUUCAAAAAAAAAUUUAUGCUUAAUAAUAAACAAAACAGUCACAUUAGAUUGAAUCUAUAAUUUUUUAGAUUUAAUAUAUAAAAAACAUAUAAAAUACAUAUCCAAAAUUUGUACCACUUUAGGAAGAAGACUUUGGGAGACUACCUGAAGACUUCGAGGAAAGUCUUCUACCAUAAAAUGCAUUAGAAGACUUGCCUAGAAGUCUUCCGAGGAGUCUUCUGAGAGUCAUCUAAUAUAAGUUUUUUAAAGUCUGUUUCAGAUCUGAAAAAUCUGCAACUUCAAAAUCAUUCAAAUGGCUUAAAAAAUAUAAUUUAUGCUUAAAUAAUAAAAAAAACCAUCACAUUAGGUUAAGACUUUCGGUUAUGUUACGAGAAAUGACGGCCGCGAGUCACUAAGGGUAUGACUGGUUUCUCUGCUACAACUCGUAAACGCAGCUUUUGUGAUUAGUAGUGGUUGUUGGUGUUUUGCAACAAUCACAUAAACCGCUCUAAAUCUCAUAAAUUCAAAAAUUGGUUCUAGCUAGCGUUGGCGGUUGCGGGAGGAUAAUUUUUUUUUCUUUUUUUAAACAAUAUAAAUACAAAAAUAAAAAUAGUUAAUAAAAUAUUUAAAUUGGAAUUAUAAGAAUACUAAAAUAUAUCUAUUAUAUUUUAACUAAUAUUAUAAAAUUUUAAAAUAAAAAUAUUUUCUAUAAUUUUAAAAAAUUUAAAACUAUAACUUUCUAAAUAUAAUUUAUAUAUUUAUUAUAAUAUUAUUAUUUUGAUAUUGUUAUAAUUAUAUAAAGGGAAUUCUCCUAAAUAGACCAUUUUCAAAUUUUGAUCAUAAAAUAGACCACAAGAAGGAAAAUGACCAAAAUGUUUCAUUUAAUAGGUAAAAAGAUCCUAACCCUAUAUAUAUAAAUAAAUAAAUAAAAUAAAAAAAAAUUAUAAUUUUAGAUUAUAUGUUUUCAAAUUCGAACUUUUUUAUAAAUUUUUUUUCGAAAAUUUGUUUUUAUUUUUUUCAAAUUUUUUUUUUGUAAUUCAAAAAUACUUUUUGAAACUAUUUAAAAAAAUUUAUUUUCAAAUUUUUAAUAUUUAUUUUUUAUUUUAUAAAAUUUUAAAUUUGAAUCCCAAAUCUCCACCCCUUAAAUCUAAACUCUAAGAUUUGGAUUAGUUAACCCGAGAGGUAUAAGUAUAUAUUUACCUCUUUAAUGAAACAUUUUGGUCAUUUUGAUCCUUAUAAUCUAUAUUUGUGACAUAAACAUUUUUAGUGCUAUCCUAGAGUAUUUCUCUUAUAUAAAAUUUAAAUAUUGUUAAUUUAUUAUUUAAAUGCUGCUGCAUUUAGUGGUUAACCAGUCAUAAGUAUCCCCCAAACGUACUAAUUUCUAACCGCAGAACCAGUCGUGCAAAGCUCUUAAAAUCGCUGGAAACCGUAACUAUCCGUAUCCGCAAACUUUCGUACCCGCAACCACAACCGCCGACAUUUGAACCAGUCAAAUCCUAAGACAUCGAAAUAAAGUUAACCAACCGCAAUUCUCGCCUUUCUGCCGCAGACCGGUCAACCAGACUUCAAACCAGACCUCAGGCAAGAACAGAUCUACCACCUCCACCUCGCCUUUCUCCGAUAGACUUAAGAGACUAUUUGGAAAACCCUAAAAUGCCGCUUCCACCGAACGCAAUCCCUACAUCCACCGUGCCAUGACUCCAACACUAAUUUGCAUUUUUAAUUUCUUAGUUGAAGACUCCAACUUGAAGUAAGGGUAAUUUGUUUUCCCAUAUACAUAAAAAACCCUCAAAUUCACUAUUUAACCAAAACACUCCCUUCUCCUUAUUUAUUUUCGUAUCUCUCUCUCUAACCUCUGAUUAAACAUUUAAUUGUUUUUUAAAUGUCUUGUUUUUUCAAUUAAAUGUGUAGUUGGGAAAAAGCUACUAAUUUUAGUUUUGAAAUCAUAAUACCAAUUUCAUUUUCCGAUAAAUAAAGCUACUAGUAUUAAAAUGUUCGUCCUUUUCUUCACAAGAAACAAAAACAGCGCUGGUGAAUUCAAUGAACAUUUACACACUUUCAAAGAGUUUGGUAGUUAUUAAAUUCUAAUAAUGGAGAAAAUUAAUAUUUUUUUAUCAAUUUCUUCACCUUUUUCGAUGCAUAUAUGGUCCACAUUAUUGGAAACUGUUUGAGAAAGGCAUAAACUAUGGAUGAUUAUCUUUACAAAAAUAUAAAUUAUUUAUUUGCCAAAAUUCAUGAUUGCUUCCUCCGUUUCUAAAAGAUCUAUGUUUUAGAAGAAAAAAAUUAUUUCAAAAAGAUAUAUUUUUCAUAUUUACAAUGCAUAAAUUAAAUAUAAAUUGUAAGCUUCAAAAAACAUAAUUGUAUUUAUUAAAAUUUUAUUGGUGAAAACUUGUGGAAAAUAGUUGAUUGCGGAAAAUAAUGUAUUUGUAACUAAAAUUUGAUGUAUUUUUUUAAUAAGUGUGAAAAUCCUAAAAUAUGGAUUUUUUAAAAACAGAAAGAGUAUAAUUUUUCUUUUUCUUACCUUAAAUGUCAGGCUUUUAGCCUAUUAAAAACUGUAGCAAAAUAAGUAAUGUCAAUAUAUAUAUAACAAAUUUGAAAUUACAGUCAGAUAUCCACGUACAUUGAAGCAUAUAUAGAUGACCUAUAUAAGAUGGUUUGUCAUACCGUAUUUACAUUAUUUUUAAAAUAAUAGAAAUUAUCUCAUAUAUAUUUCUAAAUUCUCUAAAUCAAACAAUGUUGUUUGGUUAUUUACAAUCAACAUUGUUCUCAGUAUAGUAUAGUCCAAUAGCUGUUAUGUUGUAUGUACAUAAACGGUGAGAAUAGAAGGUGAAGUACCAUUUAUUAGCAUUUUCAGUCGUCGCCCAAACAUUACAUUAUGGUACUGUAGUUUUGAGUCCGACAAAGUUAAUACAUGCCUCUUCAACCGAUUAAAGUAGAUGUGUUAGAGUUUUUUAUUACCAUCUGGCAUACUCUCUUUGUUCCUGAUCUGUUUCAUCUCAAAUGAGACACCAAAAUGACAUCAUUUUAUUAAAUUUGGUGAUUUGUAAAUAGAUUAUAAAAGACUAAUAUUAUUGGUAGUUUUAGUUUAUAGUUGAAAGCAAAUGAUGCUAUUUUCUCUUUUCUUACAUUAGUUAACACUAAAAUAUUAUUUUAUUUAUAUUUAAUAAUUUAACUUAAUGAAUAUUGGGGAUGAUUGGUAAGGACUAUAGCUUUAUAUUUUUUUCUGUAGAAUUUAAUCUGUAGAUUUUUUUGCUAUAGCUUUCAUUGUUGUAACUUUCUAAAGCACUAAUUUUUUGUUCUAAAAAUAAAGCUCUCUACCGGCGUAUUUUGAUUUUGUUCAGAUUUUUUUUCCUGUGAGUAUUUUAAGGAAAGUAAUGUUCGAUUGAUUGACAUAUAUAACUCUAGUUUUAGCAAAUGUUCCAAAUAUAAUAUAUUGUAUAUAUAUGUUCAUGUCAUUGAAAUUUAGUUAUAUACCAUAUAAAAUAAAUAAAAUAAUUGUUUUGAUUUAUUUACAAGAUGUAUUGUUUUGAUUUAUGUAUUUAUUCUAAUUUAAUUAUAUACAUAAUACGUAAAUGAAUAUAAAUAGAUAAUAAUAUCCCGCGCAACUGUGAGGAUCUUAAGCUAGUUUGAUAGAGUUUGACGAUACAAAAUAUCACUAUCAAUCCAGGUAAUAAAUUUAAUGAAAUUGGGAAAAUGUACGCCAUUUUUGUUUUGCUAGAUUUUCUUGUAAAGAAAUUAAAAGGAUAUACAUAUAAUUCAUUUAUUUAUUUUUUUGUGUCAAAACAUUCAUUAAAGUAUAUGUAGCUAAACUUUUUUUUACCUUUUUAUUAUUUCCUCAUCCAAAAUUAUGAUUAAAUGUAGCAUCAUCCUUUGCUACUAUUUCUUGUUACAUAUAAUUAUACCGAUAUUUUGUUACCUCUCCACAAAGUGUCACCAUCAAGUAGUCACUUAUGAUUUUUAUGAAUUUGACUACUCUUGAGUCUUGAGUCCCCUCAUCCCCGGAACUACAGCCUUCACUUAUAUAUCAACAUUCUGACAUCAAAACUCUUUUUUUUUUAGAAUAUAUCAAUAACUCUCUUGCUUCUUUUUCUUUUAUAUUACACAUUCUUGAUGCUUCAGAGGUCUGUAAAGAUUUUUUUGUCUGAAGAAACAAUGGAGGAGAAGAAACCGAAUCUUGAUGCUCCGUCUCUAUCCGUGAGACGAAUUCCAACGAAACUAGAGAAUCCAAGCGACUCAGAGAACACCAAGAAGAUUACAACGACGAUCAGGAGGAGAAAAGUCAAAGAUUCAUGUCAAGAAACUGAGCAUGGAACUGUGGUUCGGUUAUUACAAGAUGACAAGAGCUUCGAUCAUGUAGUGGAACCAUCUUUAGUUCCAUUUGUGUGGGAACAAACACCUGGAAAGCCAAAGGAUCAUCAUACACUACUCCAAGAAUCAGACCUAAUCAAAGCAUUGGAUAUGGUUUCUUCAACCGCAAGCUUUUCUGUUAACUGUAGUACAAACGGAGUAAGUGAUGAGUUCGAGAACAAUGGAGGCAGACCAAGCAGUGUAUCAAAAGAUGACGUCAAUCUUAAAUAUCGUGACCUCAUCAUGGCGAGAUUUUUACCAGCUGCUAAAGCGAUUGCCUUGAAACAGAAGAAAGGAUCUUUUAGAGACCAAGAAGAGAAGAUGAUGAAGAAAAAGAAAAAGAAACGGAUCAUUGCUCUACAGAGAGUCUCCAUGGCCAUAAAUCAAGAUUUAAACAAUGAUGGUCAUGAUCAUGUUGAAGAAGCAGUCCACUCAAGUGAGCCCAAGAAGGCUAUGUUUGGGUUCUUGCCACAGUUAUGUUCCAAGAACUCACUGGAUGUUCUUAAUCCGGUUCUUUUUCGGAUCAAAACUUGUCAGAAUGUUGCGGUAAGUUCUAGCAAAAUCAUAAACCCUAUAACACAAUAUUCUGUUUAUAAAACCAAACCAGCAUCAUCAACAAUAAUCGUGAGAUCAAACAAGGCUAUGAGCAAGUCUCAAGAAACCUCUCCAAUACCAAGAUUUUCAGAAAAGCUUUCCACAACUUCGAGGUUGCAAAGAACAUCGAGUACUCAGAUCAAGAGACAAGAUACGAAGUUUCUUUCGGAGGGGGUAAAGAGAAUGAGGAACAGAAACAAAAACAGGUCAGGGAAUAUCUCUGUUUCUCAACCUCCGUUGCCUAAAACUCCUUCAGAGUCCUGGCUUUGCCGUACACUUCCGAGAAGUUCGACAGUCAGCACCGUCGUCCCUGGUCAAUUACCCGUCCUUCUAUCCGGUCAAGACACCGGUUUGAGGAAGAUGAUGGAUCAAAAGUCUAUUAAAUGGGAGACGAUUGUAAAAACAUCGUAUAAACACCAUGACAAUGUACGCUACUCAGAGGUAUGAAUGAUAUUCUGAAGAUAUCUUUAUUUUUCUAUGUAUUUUAUUUUGAUUUUCUGUGUGAUUUUUCCGGAUUAUGUACAGGAGCUCACUGUUGUUCAUCCCUCUCGUCAACACAAACCAUAAACCGGAAUCUUCUUUUCCGGUACAGUAAAAUUUAGUGAUAUUUAUUUAAUGUUGUUAUUACGAUUGUGGUAUGUGUGUGUUAAAGAAGAAAAAUAAUCUGUACAAGAGGUAAUAAUGUCGGAUCAAUCCAAACUCCGUGUCGGACCAGUUUGGGUUAGGUCGGAAAUAUAGUGCCACAUAUCAACAUUUAUUAUUAUCACCACCAGUAUCUAAGGAUGUGUAUGUGUAUUGAUUCAAACAUUUGGAAUGAAUUUUUUUAAAACGAAAAUUUCAUUUUAUUUUAAAAUAUUAUAAUAAAAUUUUAAAUCUAAUAUUGAUUAUAUUAUCUUACAAAUGUCUAAACAAGAUCCAAUUCAUGGUAACCAUGAAUAUUAUUUGAUAAAAAAUCCAUGAAUAUAUUCAUCUGGACAAAUGUCUAAUUAUAGUAUUUUAUAUAUGUCUUCUAACAUCCUAGAUAUACUUAACUAAUGAUACAAAACACCAAAAGUCUUUUGUUAUUGAAUUUUUAGGUAUAAUCAAUCUGCUUUUAUAAUUUUAGUCCAAAAUGUUUUACAAAUACAAAAGAUUCAAAUUCAUGAUCUUAAUUAUGAUUUGACAUGAAUGGGCCAUAAAACUGACUUGAGUUUUUUUUUUUUUGCCAACUGAUAUUAUAUUAAACAUGGUCAUAGUACAGGGAGCCUGCUAACAGAUCCAUAAAACACACCAGACAAAAGCUCACACGGGCUUACAAAAAUAAACAGACACAAACCCAUUAAAAACCCAUACGCAACCCCUUUACAGAAGACACGCUAACAUCACGUGUAUUAAGGAAAAGGAGAUAACGAGGGACACGCGUCAAGCACAAGAGCAUCUUCCCCAAUUCUCCACCGACCCGAACAUGUCGCCGGAAAGAGUCAUCGAUUUGGACUCGCCUCUGGAACCAGUAGUCACCUUCUACCGAAAUCACAUCAGAACACGAGCUAUCUUCAACUUCACCAAUAAUUACUUGACCACCGGAAUCAACCGGGAACUUAACCAUGAACACCGAAACCACUUCCAACGACUGUAUUGGAAGCAUAAGGAUUCAGUCUCUGUCACGCAUAAACACCUAAGCUUUGAAGAGAAUCAAUCGAUUAGAUUCGAGAUCUCAUCCAACCUCCGACCACACAUCACGACAACGAAAACCUUUAGACAACUCAAGUACUCCUGAUGAUACGAUAGCCGGCGACCACCACCGAAGAAGGAACGGCUCAGCCCCAGAGUCAAAGCAGUCAUCCACCAAACGGAAGGUACGAUACUGAAACAAAAGCCGGACAUGCAGCUCCGAGGAGCUAACGGUGCCGGAAACGACCAGAAACAAAACACUACACUAAACUAGACCGGGCUAAGAGUGAAUCCCGACCGACGACGUGUCUUAAGGAGCCCACCGUCGUCGGUCGGAAACUAACGUCGGAAAUCGAUAAGCUUUGUUCUCUCACUAGACUUUCUCUCUCUCUCGUUUGACUUGAGUUUAUAUAUCCGGUUGUCAAAAAAAACAGUUAUUAGAUAUCUGAUAAUUUUAAACCAAACUUAAUAUAUAAUUUUAAAACAUUUUUUUUUUGAAUAAUAUGUAAAAUGUAUUCAGAAAAAGUUAUGUUUUACAGACUAAGCUACUUGAAAUUUGAGAUUUUUAAAAAUAAACAGAGCACAGAGUUUUCCAAAGCUUCUAUUGUGUGGCAAACCAAGCCUGAAGAAUAGUUCUGUAACGCCGAGCCCUCCUUGAACCCAACAAGAGACACUGGUUUCGAAUCUGUCUAUCAAUAGUCUUGAUCAUUACGGAGGCCAGUGUUGGGGAAUAUCCAUGCCUACGAUUGUUUCGUUCUCUCCAAACUGUGUAGAGGAUCACUUGAAAGCUAUAUCUCAGGAGAUAGAGCUGUAGCAUCGGUUGGGUAUUAUCUGACAGGAACUCAUUGAUAUCUUGCCACCGAGAGGAAAAUCUGGAAGGCAGGAUGUUGCGAGUCAGGUUCUGCCAUAUCUCUAGGGUGUAGCUACAUUCAAAGAACAAGUGUUCUCUGGUUUCCAAUUGAUGUUGACAUAAAACACAGCCAUGGUUUAUUCCAGAAUUCCAGAGGAGCAUUUUGUCUCCAGUGGAUAACGGAUUAUGCAUCGUAAUCCAGACCAUGAAACUGUAUUUCGGGGUGGAGGAAGGGAACCAGACAGUAGAGUACCAGCUAACUUCCGGUUUUGAGUCACGAAUCAGCAGCUAAGUGCUCUUUCUGUCAAACAUUGGUUUGAAAGUGUUCAGAUUGUGUUUCCAUAACACAACAUCUUUUCGAGGAUUCAUUUUGCUCCUCUGUUUAUUCAUUGCUUCCUCAAUCAUAACAUAAAGAUCAUAUCUAUGUCGCCGUGGGCGACGAGUCAUAGCAGAUUCCACCAUUGCGGUAAGAGAGAUUCCCAUUAAAAAGUAGAAACGAUAUAUGUGACUGAAUCCUAAACCUGAUCGAAAACCGAAACCAUAUCAAACUUAUGAACAAGAAAUCAGGUUUUAGUUUGACAACUAUUUUCUUAAAUACUACAUCACCCAAGCUGAAAUAUAUAUAUAUAUGGGUUCAAUGAUACCCAAAAAAAUAUAAUUCACUAUCUUACUAAAAUUCUACACUCUCUCUUCUUUUCUAUUCCUAUCGCUCUCCUCCUCUCUUUCUAAAAAUCUAAUAUUUUUUUUUGUUAUGCCACCAAUAAACCCGCAUAUAUAUAUGGGCAAAUCCCCAAAAUAGUACAUUUCUAAGUUUAUAUCACAAAAAUAUCACUCAAAAACUAAAAUGACCAAAAUAGCAUUUUAUCUUUUGAAAAAUUUAAAUUUUUUUAUUUUUCAAAAUUUGAAAUCUUAUCUCCAAAACCUCACUUCUCAACUCUAAACCCUAAAACCUAAACUCUAAACCCUAAACCCUAAAUUCUAAACCCUAAACCCUAAACCCCACCCCUUGAGUGCUAUUUUUGUGACUUUUGGCAUUGAGUGCUAGUUUGGGGACAAAAACUUGAUUUAGUGCUAUUUUGGUCUUUUUCUAUAUAUAUAUAUAUAUAUAUAUAUAUACAUAUAUAUUAAAUGAGCCUAGUUUUAAGUUUUAACUGGUAUUUUGGAAACAAAAAUCAAUGAGACCUACAUAUGAAUUUUCCGACCACCCAGAAUCAUUAACUUCUUGUAAUGCUCAUCAAUUAUUCAAUAUUCAAAUCAUUUUAGAUAAACAAGUGGUGGUAGCAUAGUGACAAUUUUUUGGGGUUCAGUGUGUGUACCUACAUCAGUUUUAGGUUCGAUUCUCGAUAGAAACUAAAUUAUCAUCACUUAACCGGUCUGGACUUGAGUUUCGGUCCAAGUGGUUUACAUAGUGGAUCAUAACAAAUGAUCGGUUCACUCUUGACAUUAGUCGAAAGAUAUUGUAAACUCAGAUCAGGCAGUGUAGUAGCCAGUCCACUCUGUAGAAGGUAGUGCGUUCCUCCGGAAGCCGACCGGAUCAUACUAUAGAAUUUCUCAAAAGAAAUUUUUUUUUCAGAUGUUUGACUAGCAUAGAGCAUGCGUAUUGCCUAUGGUAAACGGAUGGGCUUACUGAAAAGGAAUUAUGAAUGAUUUGGACCUAUCUUUUGGUUCAGCGAAGAAUACAUAAAAUAAAAUUAAGCCCAACAAUAUUCGUCAAGAAUGAGAAAAAAAAAACACUAAUACCAAAGUAUCGGUGGUUAAUGGUAAUGCAAGAGGAGGUUCGAUUCAUUCUCUUGUACACUGAAUUUAAACUACUUUUAGUAUGAAACUUUUUAAUUUCAAAGAUUAAUUUCCGGCAUGUGAGAGAUUAUGUGUUUAAUGCCCAGAACUUCUAUAGUUAUAAAAAGAAGCCAAUCAUGUAGAUGUAUCAAAAUCACUUGGUGAUUCCAACUAAUAGCCCCAUUAUAAAAUUUUGCAAUAAUACAGUCGAGAAAAAAUAAUUAGUGUUGACUUCCAAAAAAAAAUUAAGGUUGACUCGAACAAUUAUUUUUUAGAUUUUUAGUCAAGAACAAUUUUAAAAGAAAGUAGUGGAUGUCAAGUACUAUAUAGAGUACAUCAGUCAUGUUACUGCGCUCACUAUAUAUGCCACGUCACUAGACUUAUAACCGUUGAUCACCACAUUAACAACUAAUAAAAACAAUACAUGAUUAAUUGGGGCUUUUUGGUAUUUUACUCUUCUUUCUAUCUUGUUGCGGGGAAGUUCAGUCAUAUAGAAGGUCUAAUCACGAACAGUUCCAAUCCCAGCCUGCCUAGGCAUCGACGAAAACAUAUCCAUAUCCCAUGUUAUCGCACUCGAAACCAUGCUAGCUCAUGUUGUUGGUAUAUCACCUUCAACCGCAGGAUCAAAGCCUACUAACUCUGUGUACAUGUUGAUGGUCUAGAAGUAUGCGUCCAUAGCUCACAAGUUCAACACAGAGCGCACUUUGUCAGUAUUUAGUUUUAGUUUAAUAAAUGCGAUAUAUCUGUCUUCAACUUUUUUUGUUUCGAUUUUACUAACUUUUUAUGGCGACAUUUCAUUUUCAUUAGUUUACCAUAUUACAAGUUAUUUUGUGAAUUUUAUCUACAUAUAGCAGCUUCAUGACAAAUUCUAAUUUGGAACAUAAACUCUAAUUUUAGUUUUUUUUUUCUAAAACAUAAAACUCUAAUAUUUACAAAGCUUUUCAAUUGGGCCAACUCAAUUUCACAAAUUAAGAGCCGAUUUCUUUUCUUCAACCGUUGCAGGGAAAAUAUGUUUUAUAGCGUAGACAGACCGACACAAUUUGUUCACCAUAAUAAUCUUAUAAAUCUUUUUUUGGUUAAACAAUCUUAUGAAUCUAUGAUCAAUGUUUAAUUGGACAAGUUCUCGGCAAAACGGGCGCAUUUUAAAACAUAAAAAAUACUGAAAUAGUGGGACUAUAUUUCUGCUAAUCUUUCCCGCCAUGCAUAUAUAUGUUCGGGGACACUGGAAGGAAUUACCGCAAAAUGAAUGAUAUCUUGUUUAUUUUAUUUAAUGAAAAUUAUAAAUUUAUAGUAAAAAUGUGGAAUUCUUUAGAGUAUUUGCAUGUAUGUGUAUACACAUUUCUAUAAUUAUGGAAAACUUAAAGCAAGUUAAUAGAGACUUACUCAUUGAAUUGGGAGUUUCGAGAGGAUAAAAAAAAAUAGAGAGAGUUUUGUGGGGGAAAAUUGUUAGAAAGAAUUAAAAAAUAGAAAAAAAGGAUUCGCAGAAAGAGAGAAGUAAACAAAGAAAAAGGAGAGGAAGGAGAGAGAACCCACCACCCUUUGGCCCUGGAGAGACCAAAGAUGGUCGAAGAGAAAAAACUCUGAGAUCAUCACAGACUCUUCUUUCUAUCUUGUUGCGGGGAAGUUCAGUCAUAUAGAAGGUCUAAUCACGAACAGUUCCAAUCCCAGCCUGCCUAGGCAUCGAAGAAAACAUAUCCAUAUCCCAUGUUAUCGCACUCGAAACCAUGCUAGCUCAUGUUGUUGGUAUAUCACCUUCAACCGCAGGAUCAAAGCCUACUAACUCUGUGUACAUGUUGAUGGUCUAGAAGUAUGCGUCCAUAGCUCACAAGUUCAACACAGAGCGCACUUUGUCAGUAUUUAGUUUUAGUUUAAUAAAUGCGAUAUAUCUGUCUUCAACUUUUUUUGUUUCGAUUUUACUAACUUUUUAUGGCGACAUUUCAUUUUCAUUAGUUUACCAUAUUACAAGUUAUUUUGUGAAUUUUAUCUACAUAUAGCAGCUUCAUGACAAAUUCUAAUUUGGAACAUAAACUCUAAUUUUAGUUUUUUUUUUCUAAAACAUAAAACUCUAAUAUUUACAAAGCUUUUCAAUUGGGCCAACUCAAUUUCACAAAUUAAGAGCCGAUUUCUUUUCUUCAACCGUUGCAGGGAAAAUAUGUUUUAUAGCGUAGACAGACCGACACAAUUUGUUCACCAUAAUAAUCUUAUAAAUCUUUUUUUGGUUAAACAAUCUUAUGAAUCUAUGAUCAAUGUUUAAUUGGACAAGUUCUCGGCAAAACGGGCGCAUUUUAAAACAUAAAAAAUACUGAAAUAGUGGGACUAUAUUUCUGCUAAUCUUUCCCGCCAUGCAUAUAUAUGUUCGGGGACACUGGAAGGAAUUACCGCAAAAUGAAUGAUAUCUUGUUUAUUUUAUUUAAUGAAAAUUAUAAAUUUAUAGUAAAAAUGUGGAAUUCUUUAGAGUAUUUGCAUGUAUGUGUAUACACAUUUCUAUAAUUAUGGAAAACUUAAAGCAAGUUAAUAGAGACUUACUCAUUGAAUUGGGAGUUUCGAGAGGAUAAAAAAAAAUAGAGAGAGUUUUGUGGGGGAAAAUUGUUAGAAAGAAUUAAAAAAUAGAAAAAAAGGAUUCGCAGAAAGAGAGAAGUAAACAAAGAAAAAGGAGAGGAAGGAGAGAGAACCCACCACCCUUUGGCCCUGGAGAGACCAAAGAUGGUCGAAGAGAAAAAACUCUGAGAUCAUCAUCAUCAACAUCCUGCAAAAACAAGGGCAAGUUCAACAAGAAAUCAGAAAAUAUAACUCAAUAUUCAUUAAAAUUCUCUUUAUAAAGUCAUUUUCGCUUCCUGGGAUAUAUUUUAGUUGUUGAUUCCCUUUUUUUUGGUAAACGAUUCCCGAUUUUUUUGUUAAGAAGAAGUUUUUUCUGUAAGGUAAAUUUGUUUUCUUCUGAUUGCAUGUUUGAUUUUUUUAUACAUUGUAUCCAAAAGUUCUUCAUUUAUGAGGGAGAAUGAUUUUUUUUUCUUUCUUUUUGGAAUUUUUUGUGGGUUCAUAUUUUCUUCACGUUGCUUCUUCAAGGGGUUAUUCGUAUUCCUUUUUUAAUUGUUUCAAUACUUUUUGUUCAAAUUUUUGAUAUUUCUUUUGUGUUUGUUUCAUGUCGGCUUUUAGGUAUUAAAAGAUUAACAAGAAGAAGAGAAUUUCACGAGUUGUUGACUCUUGAAAAUUCAUUUUUUGAUGAUUAGGGUGUUGUGCAAUAAAUUUUGCAAACAAUGAGAGACCCUUAUUAUUAUUCAAUCAUCAACCUCGUCCUUCUCUUCUUGCUGAGGAUUCUGUAAAGUUUGCAAUUUUUUUAUUUUAUUUCUGUAUUUGUUUAUUAGAAAAAAAAUCUGGAGAUUUUGUAUAGCACUACCUGAAAUGGGUUGUCGAUGGAAUCCUACUGGAUUUCAAUACUCUUGCCUUAUGUUCUUGGUCAUUACCCUUCAAUCUCGUUCCUCAUUAUCCCUCAACUCCGAAGGUAAAACAUAUCAACAGCCUUUUCUCAAUCUUGUCUUCUUUGGAAUGUUUUUGAUUGAAGUGUUCUUGAAUUUUAUAGGAUUUCUGUUGUUGAAAUUCCAGGAAAGAGUUGAUUCUGAUCCUCAUGGAACUCUUGCGAAUUGGAAUAUUUCUGAUGAUCAUCUGUGUUCUUGGUUUGGUGUAACGUGUGUCGACAAUAAAAUCCAGAUGCUGUAAGUUCCUGUUUUUUUUUUUAAUAUUACGUCUUUGAAAUUCUUGCCGCAGUUUAUGAUGAAUAUUUUUGUUUUGCUUCUGUAGGAAUCUUAGUGGAUGUUCUUUGGGAGGAACUUUAGCACCUGAGCUAAGCCAAUUGAGUGAACUAACAUCUCUGUAAGGGCUGUUUGAAACCUAUCUUCUUGCUCUGAUUCUUGAAGAAAAUAACAAGAACUGAAAACCAAUUCUUUUGUGUAGCAUACUGAACAAGAACAAUCUCUUUGGUGAUAUUCCAAAUGAAUUUGUCACGUUCCCGAGAUUGAAGUUGUUGGAUUUACGAGAUAAUAAGUUAAACGGAGCAGUUCCACCUGAGCUAAACAAGAUGUUGUCACCAGAGAACUUGUAAGUUAAAAGGCUUGUGAUGCUUUUUUUUUUUUGAAUAAAACCAAAUCAAUGGACAAGAGACUAACGUUUUGUUUUUGUUUUUUUUGGUGGGUUCAGGUUGCUUUCUGGUAACAAGUUUGCUGGUUAUAUGAAGAUAAAGUUCCUUAGACUUCAAUCGCUAUAUAAAGUCAACUUGAACAAGCAUCGAGAGCUGUCUUCUGCUUCCAAUGCUGUCUUCGACUGUGUAAAUAGAAAACUUGGAUACUGGUAAAAUGAACUUUCUGCAUUAUAGAUGUUCAGUUGGAGGACUCUUACACAAUGUUUUAAUAAAAACUAUAUCCAUUUGACAGUGUUUCAAGGAGAAGACUGUUAAGACUAAACAAAGCAAAAGCAUUUGUAUUGCGGAUUAAAGCAACUACAAGACAGUACAUGAAAGCAUUUUCCUUUUUCAAAAUAUAAAUUCAAUAACUCAAAUCAUUUUUGUUUGAUUUUUGUAUUAUUUUUUCCUUGCUGAUUUUCUAUGUCUAUGUCUGUUCAGGCUGCUAAGUGAGCCUCAUGGAAAGAAUAAAGUCGUGACUUACAUCCCAAGUAAGCAAAAGAAAAACAACCCAAACUUCUGCUUUUGAAACACAUACGCUAAAUGUAUCUUUUUUAAUGAACUCAUGCUAAAUGUAACUCAAUCUUUAAUUUUAUUUUUCUCUUGUUGGCAGGUUCCAUAGAGAAUGGAUCUAGUAUCUUCAGAAGGCGUGAGUUACUAGAGGGAACAAGUAACUUAGCAGCUAUGCCUGCGCCUGAUGCUCCUAGUCCUUCUCCUCAGAUCAUAACCAACGUGUUUCCUCGAAGCAGCGGGUCUUUUCCUGCGUUGGCUACUGCAAAGAAGAGAAUACCUCCAUUGAUCCCUCCUUCUCUUCCUCCAACAGAUGAGAACAACAACAACAACAUAAGCUCUGAUCCCCCGAGGCAAUUUGAAGAAGAAGAAACAAAAGGGUCUAAGGAUGUUUGGUUAUAUGUUCUUAUCGGGGUUGCUGCUUUUGUAGCGGUGUUGAUAGUAAUAGCUGUUAUAUUCUUCUUCCGGAAAAGAGCAGUAAAGACUAUAGGUCCAUGGAAGACUGGUUUAAGUGGACAGUUGCAGAAAGCUUUUGUAACUGGUAAGAAAAUGGUUUUAAACUUUUUUUCAUUUUGGUUCUGUUUUAGGUUUGACAUAAUGUGAGAAAUGUUUUCCAGGUGUACCAAAGCUAAACCGGUCUGAAUUAGAAACAGCUUGUGAAGAUUUCAGUAACAUCAUUGAAACAUAUGAUGGUUACACUGUCUAUAAAGGAACUUUAUCAAGUGGUGUUGAGAUUGGGGUUGCGUCAACCGCGAUUUUGGAAAGGAGAGACUGGUCAAGAGCCAUGGAAAUGACUUACCGCAGAAAGGUAACACUCUAAGAAUCAUUCAUUUUCGCCUUUUUUGAAGAAUCUUGAUUGAUAUUGGGAGAGCUCAACUUUGCAGAUUGAUACAAUGUCCAGAGUCAACCAUAAGAACUUUAUAAAUCUAAUUGGUUACUGUGAAGAAGAUGAACCAUUUAAUAGAAUGAUGGUUUUCGAAUAUGCCCCAAAUGGAACUCUUUUCGAACAUUUGCAUGGUAAACAUCUAAAAAGACCUUCAUCUUGUGAUAUUGGUUGCUUAUUAGUUAUUAUUAUUAUCAUCAAACCAUGCUCAUCUUGUCUUGUUCAGAUAAGGAGAUGGAGCAUCUUGAUUGGAGCGCGAGGAUGAGGAUAAUUAUGGGAACUGCUUAUUGUCUGCAACAUAUGCACGAGCUUAAUCCGCCAAUGUCACUCUCUAAACUUGCUUCAUCAGCAAUCUACUUAACCGAUGAUUACGCAGCAAAGGUUCUUGCUUCCUUGGUUAACAAGAAACUGUUUCGAUGGCUCUUGAUUGCUUGCGUAAUAAACCACUAAAUGAUUUAUUCUGUUUUCAGGUCGGAGAGGUUCCUUUCGGCUCACAAACUGGACUUAAAUCGAGAAAACCGACAAGUGGUGAUUUAGACAAAUCUUUAUUGCCGUUACCAGCUGAACCAGAGACUAAUGUCUAUAACUUUGGAGUAUUAAUGCUUGAGAUAAUCUCUGGAAAACCCCCAGAUUCAGAUGAGGAAGGAUCAAUUACAAAAUGGGUACUUCAACUCAAAUAUAACAAAAAAAAGGAUCUAUUUUCUUUUGAAAUUGACAUCACUAAUGUAACACUUUUAUGGUUUCUUUAAUAGGCAUCAAAGUAUCUGGAGAGUGAUAAGUUGAAAGAUAUGAUAGAUCCUACAUUAACAACGUUUAAAGAAGAGGACCUAGAAGUUAUAUGUGACGUGGCACGGCACUGUCUGAGAACUGACCAGAGUCAACGACCAACAAUGAAAGACGUGAUUGAGCAACUGAAAGAAGUAAUCAACAUUUCCCCAGAACAAGCUACACCGAGACUCUCUCCUCUUUGGUGGGCAGAGCUUGAGAUCUUAUCCUCUGAAGCUACUUAACCGGAAGAACCAUUCUCUCUCCUCCUCCUUCUCCUCUCUCUCUCUCUUCGAGUUGUCACAAGUGUCAAGAGGUCCAGGUUCUCCCUCUGCUUACAGUAAACAUCGUCGUAUGUAAAAGUUGUUUUCUUUUCUUUUUAAAUUCUUCAUAUUAAAAUUUGUUUCUUGGUUGGUUUUGAUAGUGUAUUUGGAUCCAGAUAAUACAACGAUGCAUGUGUCUGUAUAAUUGUAUUCUACCAUUCAUACCUAUUACAUAUACGUAUUUUAUGGUGAAAUGUUGUUGUAACUAUUAAGUAUUAACUUCGGUUUUCUGAACUAUGCCCUUCUGUGAUAUUUUUUAUUUGUAUGUGAAGUAUUUAUUAUUGAUAGAGGUAUAUGACAUGAGUGUUUGUGGCACUUUGGUUUCCUGUUACAAGUCUCCUAAGCUAAGAGAUUUGAAUAUCAACUUCAAAAUAUUCCAGAUAGAUGUUAUCACUGCUUAGAUUAGUCACAUUGCUUCAGGUCUUGGAAAACCAAUUUUAACUCGCAAACUACAUGCAAAUGGGGAAAACAAUUUUUUUGUUUACAAGUCUCCUAAGCCAAGAGAUUUGAACAUCAACUUCAAAAUAUUCCAGAUAGAUGUUAUCACUGCUUAGUAAUAUUCACAUUGCUUCAGGUCUUGGAAAACCAAUUUUAAGUCGCAAAACUACAUGCAAAUGGGGAAAACAAUUUUUUGUUAAAAUGGAGUUAGAUAAAACCUUUUCAAGGUUAAUUGCAUAUGACGACAAGCAAUAAAAUAUUUACUUCGUUGAAGUUGAAUACAUAUGGAUAUCCCUCCACAAAUGUGAUAGCGGAAAUUUGUGACAUAAAAAGAAAAGAUGGCUUUUCCCACCCAAUGUCUCUGAUAUUACCAUGGGUAAAUAUACACAAGCUUAAGAUGAAAGUUUGAAUGUGGAUAAGUUACAAAAAAAGUUUGAAUGUACCUAUACUUAAUAGAGAAUAUUACAUCUCACCCUUAAUAAUAGAUCAACCUAAAUGUCUUUUAUAUCAUCUCCGAUCCAAAGCCUAUUUCGCCUCUAAAAUGGUCUACAUCUCCUCGGGGCCGGCUGGCUUAGAGCAUGGGGCAAAGGUGCAUGGGCUCCAUUUAAAAAAAAAAUGUUAAAGAGGAGUCCAAUUUUUUUUCCAAAAUAAAUAGAGAUAAAUGCCAAAAAAGGUAAGACACUCCCAUAGGUACAUGUAAAACAAAAUUUGUCCAUGGGCCUAUAUAUACUUUGAACCGGCUAUGCAUCUGCUACUACUUUCACGCGGAAAUAAGGACUGCCUAAAAGAAGUUAGGCUAGUUCUAGAAGAGACGCAAUAAAUCAACACGAAAAAAUAUCAUUUAUUAAUUUAAAAAGGUGUCAUUUUCAUAUUCUAUGUCUAUUUCUAACCAUUAGUAGGAAAUUUUCUUGCUCCAAGUUAUAAAUAGAUUAUGGAGAAAAAUUCAUCCUACAUGGUCAAUAUCGAAAUAAUCAACUCGAAAAUGAUGCUUUAACUGAUCCAUGUAGAGUCAUACCCUUCAUCAAUAAACACGAUCAAGAAAGUGAACUUCAAACAGAAAAGACAAAAACUAAAGGUGAAAAAUCAUUUAAACCAUCCAAACAAUUCAAGAAAUGAAACAGAAGAAAUUAUAUGUCUCUGGAGAUCGUGGUAAUUGAUAAUCUCUAAAUAUUUGUUAGCCUUAUUUUAACUCUAGUAUAAAUCAUUAUUAAGCUCUCUUUCGAUUCCAAAAGUAUUGUAGUAUUUUAGGCUCUAUCAACCUUGGAACACGCUCUACGACUUUUAAACCAUAUAAGCUUACAUUUGAUUUAUUCUAUCGAUUUCUUCUUCUAAACAUAUUAUAGAAAAUAAUAUUAUAGAUAUAUGUACGUAUCACCCAUAUGGGAGUGGAAUUACGUUUGACGAAUUUUGAAAGUCAAGCGGUCUGGAUUCUAAACAAUUCUACCACAGUAAAUCUGGGUGGUCAUAUAAAAUAAAAUUUUACUUUAAAUUUCAUUUGAGUAAGUAGAAAAAAAAAUGAUCCAUAUAAAUUGCACAUUUCACUAAAAAAGAUUAGUAUGACCAUAAGUAUGCAUAUGUAUGCAUCAUAUAUUGUCGUGGUCCAAUAGUUUCCACUCGAAGAGGAAUUGCGCUGUUGGUCCAGACCAUGGAACAAUUCUUCUCUAGUGCUAAAUUAUUAGUUCCAUUGCUUAUAACCUAUUUGAAUACCUAGAAAAAUAGUUCAUAUUUAGAUUGCAUCUCCCCUUGAGAAUUAAUUUGGACAUUUUCAUGGGCAUGGAAUACUCUAAGGUUAAUCAAACAAAAGGACCAUAAGCACCAAAUAUCAUCAAAAUUAAGUUCAGAACAACAAGAUGGGACGGCGAGCUAUUUUCCCACGAGAAGUAUCGUAUAACACCAUAUGUCUCCUAAACUAUGGUCUCAUUCCAGAUGUCUCCAUGAAUUAAAAGUUUGAAAGCUAUUUUUCCAUGAAACUUUAGCUUAACACCUAUCUCUCCAUGAAUUAAAAGUUCAAAAUCUCUGACUCCAGAAAAUUAAAUUACUCGAUUUAAGCCUAUAAAUCUAGACUGUUUUGGUUAAUGAAACUAGUUUUGGACCAAUAUAUGACCAGACUACAUCUAUUAAAUCACAAAUUAAAAACCUAGACCUGAAAAAAUCAUAAGCCCAUGAACCUAGAUCCAAUUUCAUAACCCUAAAUUGAAAGCUGAGAGAAAAAAUUCCCAAAUCAUAGAGAAAAACAGAAGAGAGGAUAGAAGAGAGACACAUAAUUGAAGAUUGAAGAAGGCAGAGUUGAAUGGCGUCUAGUUGUUAUUGCAUUUCAAAAAUAGACCUUUGAAGAUUAUUCAUUGAAAUGCUUAUAAGAAAACAAAAUCCGUUACCAUUUAACUGAAUUCGUAAAUGUUCCACUCAUAAACGAUUAAACAUAGAAAUCAAACCUCAACUCAGAUGAGCAAAAAAAAUUCAUUCUUUUUUUUUUUUUUUUUUUUUGAAUGAAUGUUAAAUUUUAUUCAUCAAAAAAGACCUUUAUACAACUAGUGCAACCUUUAGGCUAUACAUACUUUGUGAUUCCUAUACUUCAAACUUUUCUAAAAAAAAACUUCAAUCUCUAGCUCCAAACCAUGUUUGCAAUCCCCUCUCCAUCCCUUUAACUCUAUUAGCUUGUAAAAUACUCAGCUUGUUCCUCAUUCCCUUGUCAAGAAUUUUCCUUAAAACUGUCCAAGGCAUCAACUUCUCACCAUGCUUAACUCUGUUUCUUUCUCUCCACAAUGCAUACACUACCACUUGAAAUGCAUACCUAAGACAGAAACGCUUCCUCCUUUCCAUACCUCUCACCGUUAACAAGGGAAUUAUAGAUGACCAUAAGUUUGUGUAAGAAUCCCCCAUGAUUCCUCUAGCCAAAUUUUCCCAAACUUGAGAAGAAUAAGAACACGUAAAAAACAAAUGAUCUCUAUCUUCAUCUGCACUCUUGCAGAGCACACAUAUAGUGUCCACACCCUGACUCCAUUUUGCUAUCCUAUCCAUCGUAGAGAGUCUGUUUAAACAAGCCAACCAAGUCAUGAAAGCAAACUUGGGGGUCGCCUGUGAGAACCAAACACCCUGCGUCCAAGUACAUUUCUCCUUCUCCUCUCUAAUCUGCUUCCAAGUCUCGCAAGUCGAGAAAACAUUCUUAUAACCUGACUCUCUUCUCCACUGACUAAUAUCCUCCAUAUCAAUACUCACUCUGUCCUUUAUUUCCCUCAACUCUUCCUCGAUCUCAUUUAAUAUCACCACUCUAUGUCUCCUUCUUCGCCGAAAGCAGAACAUUGCCUCCUCAACUGUGGCUUCUCUUCUAAUACCCAUAUCAAUGUACCCUCUAGCUCCAAGAAGAUCAAACAGAACUCCUUUCUCCGACCAUUUCUCAAACCAGAAAGACGUGUGGCGCCCAUUUCCUAUUUCCUUCCUAUAGAAACUUUUAGCUACCUCCCUUAGUUUCAAUAAUUUUCUCCACAUCCAAGACCCACACUGAGAAUUUAUUUUUACUUCCCAGAAACUCUUAUCCUUCAAGAUGUUAGUUUUAAUCCACUUACUCCACAAAGAAUCUCCAGUCAACAACCUCCAGAUAAGCUUCAAACUACUAACUUUAUUUACAUCCUUUAAAGCUCGUAUACCCAAACCGCCUUCCUCCCUCUCCUUACAAACAUCCCUCCAAGCCACUUUCGCCCCGGUCGUCUUAAGACUAGGCCCCGACCACAGAAAAGCGGAACAAAGCUGUUCGAUUUCUUUAAUGCACUGGCCUGGAAGACGGAAAGCAGCAGACCAGAAGUUCACAAUACUCAUUAGAACAGAUUUAAUCAGCAUAAGUCUUCCUGCAUAAGAGAGAAACCUUGUGGUCCAAGUAUUAAUUCGCCCUCUUAUCUUCUCCACAAGCGGCUGAUAAUCCUGACUUCUCAUUGCCUGAGACAUUAGGGGCAACCCUAAGUAUCUUACUGGCAAAUCCCCUACAGCAAAAGGGAAAUCUGAUAAUAUACGACUCUUCUCCUCCACCGGAACCCCCGCCAUGUAGAUAGUUGAUUUCUCCAAACUGAUUUUCAAUCCUGACCAAGCAGCAAACUCAUCAAACACUGCCAAUGCACCUUCAAUCGAAUCUUUAGAACCCUCCACAAACACCAUCAGAUCAUCAGCAAAACAUAAGUGAGUUAACGAGAGAGAAUGACACCUAGGAUGAAACUUGAACUUCCUCUCAGUAGCCGCUUUAUCAAUCUUCUUUGACAAGAUAUUCAUACAAAGCACAAAGAGAUAGGGAGAUAGUGAGCAACCCUGUCUCAAUCCCCUUGCACUUUGGAAGUAGCCAGCUAAGUCUCCGUUUACCUGAACUGAGAAAGAAGGGCUCGUGAUACACAAGCGGAUCCAGUGCACAUAUUUACUCGGGAAACCCAAAACCUCCAACCCCUUAAGAACAAAAUCCCACUGAACCGAGUCAAACGCUUUUGAAAUGUCGAUUUUCAUCACACACCUUGAAGAAACUGAAGGCUUAUGAUAAUCUCUCACCAAUUCAGAAGCCAAGAGCACAUUCUCCAUAAGCAAUCUCCCUGUGACAAAGGCGGACUGAUUCUCACUAACAAUUCUUGGUAACACCCGCUUCAAUCUGUUAGCCAAAAUCUUCGAAACAACCUUGUAUAAGACAUUACAACACGAAAUUGGUCGAAAAUCUUUCAUCUCCAUUGAGUCAAUCUUCUUUGGGAUCAAAGCAAGGAUCGUGGAAUUCACACCUUUUGGGAGGAAUCCAUACUUGAAAACAGACUGAACCGCCACCACGAAAUCCUUACCAAGAACUGCCCAAGUAGUUUUAAAAAAUUCGCAGGGGAAUCCAUCAGGCCCAGGGGACUUGUUGCUUGGCAUAGCAAAUAAUACCUUUUGAACCUCAUCACUCGUUACCUCAGCCUCUAACAUAUCACAAUCCUCCAUGGAACAUCGAAACUCUAAAAGAUCACGAAGCUCGUCCUCCGUAGCACCAACAUACUCUGAUGGCUUCAUAUUCAUAAACUCAGAGAAGAACCGCUCCGCUUCUUGUUUGAUAUCCUCAUGUUUGGUAAUAAUACUACCAUUCAAACACCUUAUCUCACGAAUCAGGUUCUGAGCAUACCGACUUCUAAUAGCAUUGUGGAAGGUCUUAUUGUUCUGAUCUCCAACCUCCAACCAGUGCAGCUUUGCCCUCUGUUUAAGAAAAUCCUCUUCCAAACUUGCAAUAUGCAACCAUUUCUCAUACGCUACCGCCUCCUCUUGAGCUGCACCUUCACAAGGAUUAGCUAAAGUGCUUCGCUGCUUAUCACAUAAUUGCUCAUGAGCCUCUUUAGCACGCUUAGUUAAAUUUCCUAGCCCUUUACGACCCAGCUCUCUAAUAUGCGGUUUCAGAUUCUUCAAUUUCUUGGAGAACCUAUACAUAGCCGAGGUGGAGUGAAAUAAAACCUCUGUAGUCUGCCAAUACUCCUCAAUCAUGGGCUGAAAACCUGGUAACCUUCCAACUGCAUUUACAUACUUGAAAGGACGUCUAAUCUGUUCUUGAGGCGGCCACAACUGAAUCAUACAUCGCAUAUGAUCCGAGCAUCCUCCCGGUUCAAAAACAGAGUAAGCUGUAGAAAAUUUUAGCAGAGCAGCAUCAUUCAUAAGCACUCGAUCAAGUUUCUUACAGAUAAUCCCCUCAUCUUGCUUAUUACUCCAAGUAAAGCGAGGUCCUUGGUAACCCAGAUCAGACAGAUGACAAUGCAACACCAUACGCUGAAAGUCUCUCAUUCCCCUAGGUAGUCUUUCUAAACUUGAAAAUCUUGAAUUCUCCUCCCCAUCCAAGAUCUCAUUAAAAUCUCCCAUUAUCAUCCACUCCUUAUUUUUAAACAUAGCCGAAUCAUGAUGGUUGCAAAGAUCAUCCCACAACUCUUUCCUUCCUUCCACCUGAUUACUAGCAUAGACGAAAGUACACAAAAACUCUUCUUUAUUCUCUACCCCCACUGAGCACGUUAUCAGUUGGUCUGACUUAUACACAGGGGUCAUACGAACCUCAUCCCUCCAUAAAACCCAAAUACGACCUCCACUACUACACUCAUAAUUCAUCAUACUCGACCAACCUUUAAAAACCUCCUUUAUUAUUCUUUCUGCUUUACUUUCCUUCACCCUUGUUUCCAAUAUGCACCCAAAUUUCACCUCUUUAUUACUAAUCCACUCCUUGACUACAGAUUGCUUUAACGGCUUGUUGAAACCUCUCACAUUCCAAAAAAAGCUCGCCAUAUCAGUAUUUUCGAUAUGUCUCUGGAGAUCGUGGUCUUCAGAUUUACAUCCGAAGCUUUAGUCUUCUGAACAUUCCUCACCCCUUUUUGUGGCAUCACCUUUUCCUUACUCCUACUCUGUUGAGCAAGAAUAGUAUCCUCAAGAUGAUCCGCCUCUGAAACUUGUAUAACGUCAUCCACCUCCAAGAUAUCCUCUUCAGUCUCAUCCUUCUCCCCUACCUCCUCUAUUUGAAUUUCACCUUCUUCCAUCUCUUCAGCCUCAUCCAUACUCAGAACUGAGAACUUAGAAGUCGAAACCUGAAUAUCAGGGGCUUGCUUUGGUGAUUGAGUCCUCCCAACUUUCGUUGGUGAAACUAAAGACCAAGCAGAACCUCCAAUAUCUUUUUUUCCUACUUCCUCAUUCUUUUCCACAUCUUCUUUUUCCCUCUCUUCCUCUCCUCCUCUUUGGAUAUCCUCAUUACUUUCUUUUCCAUCUUCUUUAGUCUUUUCACCACUACCUCCCUGAGCAUCAGCUUCCUCAUUUUCCCUUCUCACUUCUUUACCAUUCUUAACACAAAUCUUAUCUGUAUGGCCCCAUUUCCCACAAUGAUUGCAUUUCGAUGGAAACCAUGGGUAAUGAAACUCCACUGUGAACUCCUUUCCAUUUUUAGUGAAAUCAACUUCCUUCGGCAAUGUCUUUGAUACAUCCACAUUCACAAAAACUUUAGCAACCUCCAGAUUAGAACACGCAAUGGUCUCUGGAUGCAACCUAUCCGGAAACCCCACAGUGCUUGUCAUGAAGCUGAUGCCCUGCCAAGAGUACAUAUGGAGCGGAACCUUUUUUAGGUGAAUCCACAUUGGAAUCGAAGUCUCCUCCUGUUUCUCUUCCUCCGUCUUUGGAAUCCAUUUUGUAACCACCAUAGGAACCCCCGCAAUAAUCCACAUACCUCUCUUAAGAAUCUUCUCCCGAGCUUUGAGAUUUGAAAUCCUAAACCUCAUCGUUGUCGCAUCUUCCUCAUAGACAUCCACUUUCGAAUCCAAAUCACCAUACUUCCAUAUUUUAUUGACCACCAUAUGAACUUUCGCCAUGUGAGGUGCGAGAUCCAAAAACCUACCAACCACAAAAUCAUCCCAGAGUGGCGUUGAAUCAACAAGCGCCUCAUCAGGAAUCAUCACCUUAUGCUUCCCAUCUUGAGUCGAUACCUCAACUUCAUACUUCUUCAAACUUUUCUUAUCUUCCGCCACAACUACCCAACUCUUCACAUUCUUCGAUCCCAAACUUUCCUUUUGCUUCUCGACCACCACAGCACUCGUAUCCUCAUCCAGACGCCCCGAAACUAUCCCCAGAGGGCGUAAAUCCCCCGGCGGAUUAGCCUCAUCCAUCACGCGAAACUAGAUCUCGAUCGCCAAAAGAAUCGCCUCAGAAUCGCCCUUUUGGAAAACGCAGCGUUUUCAAUUGUUACUGUCUUCACCUCAAAGAAGUGAUGAAGAGCAGUCAUUUUAAUAGCACUUGGCUUCAAGCUCUUGAUCCCUCAGCCGUGGCAAAUGCUCUAGCUACACUUGUUAUAAUCGGGACCUUGUAGGCUAGAGCCAUAUGUCUAAGCUGUCUUCCAUCCUUCUGAUCAAGAUCACCGCCUGAGCUUGUGAUCAACAUCAGAUGAAUCUGACCAUUAGCCACCACAUCAACUUCAACACUCUGUCCAAAUGAAACAUAAUUUAAAAUGUCAACUAAAAACCUAUUUACUACCAUCAUCCCUCAAUUUCAUCAUUAACCUCAGCCACUGUCUUGUUAGAUUCCAUCUUCCUUUAAAAAUUGCUACUAAAAAUCACAACAACUCAAAUAACAACCAAUCAUUAGAAUCUGAAGGAAGAAAGAACAAAUUAUAAUUGUGUGAUUGUUGGCACUGGUGAAGCAAAUUAAGAAAUACAUUUCUUAUUUUCUCAAUGUAAUAUAAUAGCAGUACAUAAGGAAUACUCCCGAGAUUUAAAAAACACGAGUUACGUCCAAUACUUCGAAAUGCUGCUCUUGUCGUUCAUUUCUUGCAGUGCUUUUUUUUCUUUUAACGACCCUUAACAUCCUCAAUUCUUGUAAGCUUUUCUUCUUUCUCUUCUUUUUCUACAUAUAUAUCAAUGUAGAAGGCGAAACUUAUGAAACUAAUCAUUUUGCAGCAUAACAUGAAUAGUAACUAAUGAAUCUAUAAUGGUAGCCACAGAAAAUUCUCCCAUCACCAUGUUCUUCAACGAUUUUUCACCAGAGUCAGCUCAUCAGACAGAGUUCAAGUCGCCAUGUUCAUCUUCCCCCUUUUUGACUGUGAAGAUAUGAUGUUGUUGGAAUCUGUAGUAUAUCGACAGUAGCAUAAGGCCACUGAUCCCAAUGGAGACAAUUAUGUAGGAUCAUUGAUAAAUACAGAGUUAAGUACUUAAAUGCAUGCUGCUAAAAACAGUGAAAUGUUUAGAGAAUUUCAGUGUGCCGUGAAUUUCUUGUAUAAAGAAGGAAGGCAAACCAUGUCUCAGUUAAGGCCAAUACUUUAUUCCGAACAAUGAAUCAGUUUUCAUACUUUUUAAUUCUAAGAAAUCAAAACCCAAAGUACUUUGCACACACACAACACAAAUAAUAGAUUGGUCGCCUCCUCUAAUUGGAAGAAACGAUUUAUAUAGGAGAAGAUAUGUAGGGAGGUGAAACAAAACCAUAAAAGAAAGAUAGAAAACGAAGAAGACAAAGUGUGUGCGCCAUUUCUUGAAGUGGGCUUGACUGGGCAAUUAGGAAAUAUCAUAAGCCCACAUGAAAGUUUCGGUAUUUAUCAUUUUGGAACAAAGCUCUUAUGACGUGGCAAUUCAUCACUCUCUAAUUGGUCUGAAUUUCCAGGCUGACGUAGAUAUAGCCUCAAUAUGUAGCUCAAGAACUUUUUUUUAUAGCUCAAGAAUUUAUAGUAUUGUAAGAUACAUGCAUAAAUAGAUACGUUAUAUAGACACAUUAUGUAGUACUAAAAUUUAUGUCGAAACUAUGAAAAUACGGUUCUAAAAAUGUUUUAUAUGCAUCAUAUAUUGACACAAACAUUUUGAACACAUAUAUAAAUUAACUAGAAUCAUUUUAAACAAAAUUGAUCACUACGCCAACAACUUCUCGAAAGAUGAACAACACUGGAAAAAAACAGUCGAAAUUAAAGUUAUUUAAAAAUAGUCCAAAGAAAAUUUUAAUACAUCAUAUAUAUUUUUUUAAAUUCAUGAUUCCUCCGCCAUUUAUUUCAAAUCAAGACAUGUCAUGCGUCAACUCUUUCACCAUCUCAAGAUUUAUGGGCAGCCACUGAAAUAUAUUCCUUCAGUUUCUAAUUAAAUGUUAUUAUAAUAAACGUUUCAUUAUAAAAUAAAUAUCAUGUCAUAUUUUUAAUAUAAUUUUACUACAGUUUUAUUAUUUUAUUUCUUAAUAAAAAGAAGAAAUAAUUUAGUAUUUACACGUCAAAUUUGAAAUAUAAAUUAAUAGUAAAUAAUUAAAUUAUAUAUUGGAGAUGGCAAAAAGUUUUAUUUUGGAAUAUUUAAUAUUUAUCAGUCUCAUGAAUUUAGAACAUAGCUCCAAAAUUAAAUUUUGGAAUCUUAAAAAUUUUUUUAGAAAUACUAUUUUUAUCAACUUCUCCUUCACUAUAAUUAAGAGCCUAUAAAAAUCACAUAUAGAUACAUGUAUUAAGGGGCGCCCACUUCAAGCAAUAUUCAGAGCCACACAAAUCUAGAUUUUUGCCCUUGAGUCUUUUUUAGAAAUACUAUUUUUAUAUAUGCAGAUUUUGAGACUCAAGAAAAAAACAAUUAAAAUUUAGUGUGGUUUUCUCCUCUCAUGAACAUUUCCAGAAUCUGAGCUCUCUCUCUUCUAAUGGAAGAAGCAGCAUACCCAAACAAAGUUAUUCAACAGCUUUUCCUCUAUUUUUCAUCAAGUUAGAUUGUUCUUUAAAAAAACAAACUCGAACCAAUGGAUAAAAAAGGCAUUGUGCUGAUGAAAAGGUACGAAUUAGGCCGUCUUCUAGGGAAGGGAACAUUCGCGAAAGUGUAUCACGCACGCAACCUAAAAACGGGUGAAAGCGUAGCGAUCAAGGUAAUCGAUAAGGAGAAAGUCACAAAAGUUGGAUUGAUCGAUCAAAUCAAACGAGAAAUCUCGGUGAUGCGUCUCGUUCGUCACCCAAACGUCGUGUUCCUCCACGAAGUCAUGGCGAGCAAAACAAAGAUCUAUUUUGUGAUGGAGUACGUUAAAGGCGGUGAGCUUUUCAACAAAGUCUCUAAAGGAAAGCUUAAAGAAGACAAUGCUAGAAAAUAUUUCCAGCAACUGAUUGGAGCAAUCGAUUAUUGCCAUAGUCGCGGAGUUUACCACCGUGAUCUCAAGCCAGAGAAUCUGCUUCUAGACGAAAAUGGCGAUUUGAAGAUAUCUGAUUUUGGGCUCAGCGCGUUGAGAGAGUCGAGGAAACAAGAUGGCUUGCUUCACACGACAUGUGGAACACCUGCUUACGUGGCGCCUGAAGUGAUCUGCAAGAAAGGUUAUGAUGGAGACAAAGCUGAUGUUUGGUCUUGUGGAGUUGUGUUGUAUGUGUUGUUGGCUGGUUUUCUUCCGUUUCAUCAACAGAAUCUUGUCGAAAUGUAUCGGAAGAUCAAGAAUGGGGAAUUCAAAUGUCCAAACUGGUUUCCACCUGAGGUCAAGAAGCUAUUAUCUCGAAUUCUUGAUCCUAACCCUAAUUCAAGAAUCAAGAUUAACAAAAUCAUGGAGAAUUCUUGGUUUCAAAAGGGUUUCAAGAAGAUAGAAACUCCUAAUUCGCCUGAUAGUUAUCAGAUCGAAUCGCUAAUCAGUGACGUGCAUGCAGCAUUUGCGGUACAGCCGAUGUGUUACAAUGCAUUUGACCUAAUCUCCUCUUUAUCUCAAGGAUUUGAUCUCUCGGGAUUGUUUGAGAAAGAAGAGAGAUCAGAAUCGAUGUUUACGACAAAGAAGGAAGCGAAGGAGAUAGUGUCGAAAUUCGAAGAGAUUGCUAUGAAUAGUGAGAGGUUUGAUUUGAAGAAGAGUAAUGUAGGAGUGAAGAUGGAGGAUAGAAGAGAAGGAAGAAAAGGACAACUCGCAAUUGAUGUUGAGAUAUUUGAAGUGACAAAGAGUUUUCAUAUGGUUGAGUUUAAGAAAAGUAAAGGUGAUACAAUGGAGUAUAAACAGUUUUGCGAUGGUGAGCUUAAGCCUUCGUUGAAAGAUAUUGUUUGGAAAUGGCAAGGAAACAACAAAAAUACCAAUGAGAGUGUUGCAUAAUGUGAUAAAAUGUGUUUUUCCUAUUUGACUUCCUUUAAUUCGAGUUUUUUUGAUAUUUGUGUGUACUAUCUUUGAGAUCUAUGUAAUGGAUUCGCUGCAGUUAUCAUCACAUAUCUAGAUUUUUUGUUUGUUCCAUAUAUACACAAAUUUCAAAAAUAUAACAAUGUAAUAAAAAGACAAGUAAAAAAAAACAGUAAAACAAAAUUAGUUUUUUGGUGGUCUAAAUCGUUUAUAUAGAUAAGAUGGUCUUCCGUUCUAUAAGCUUAAUCGCAAAAUAAUAACUUGACCUAUGGGGCUGGUCACAUUAUACUGAUUGAUCUGUAAUUAUCUUGAAAGCUCUUGUGAUCAGUAUUGUGAAAGGGAAUAAAAGAUCAUGACACUGAAGAAUGAAAAUUGUGGUUCUCAUGUAAUGUCUUGAGACUGAAGAAUGCAACAAAGAAUUCAUUUGAAAAGGUUGAGUAGAUUCUGCCGUCGAGAUAGAAAAGCUUCAAAUGUAAAAGCUCAGCGAGAAUUGGGAUCUUAGCAUCUGGUUCAUGAAGUAACAUGGUGUUUAGAUAGAUUUGAAUGCUAGGGUACUCAUUGGAGUGUGAUUGUGGUGAUUGGGUCUUCUCUGUGAUACCACAAGAAGGUAACCUCUGUUGCUCACAUAGGAUGAAGCUUGAGAAUUGCCUAUGUGAGUCAGAUACUGGCAAUCUUAGUAGACCGAAAAAUUUGUCGGAGAAUUUAGAGAUUAUGGUUAGAGAUGAAUCAAGUUUAGAGCAUCUCCAAAAAAAACUCAAUAACUUCAAAAUAUAGAGUUUUUUGUUCUCCAAAAAAGAAUUUCAAAACUUCAAGAUAUGAAGUUUCACUUCUUAAAACUCUAAAUUUGAAGUUUCAUCUUUUUAUUUGCAUCUUGGUCUUUAUAAUUAAUUAUACAUCUCAUUUAUCAUCUUCUAAUUCUUAAAAUUUUGUAUAUUUUUAAAUAUUUCAAAUUUAUUUUUAUAAAUUUAAAAUUUACACAUAAAAUUAAAAGAACUAAAAUAGGAUUUAUAAUAUUUUAAAAGUAGUAUUAGACAACAAGAAUAUUACAAAAGAAACUUAAUUGUUUAUAAAAAAAAUAAAGAUACAUGCAGACAUAAUUAUUACACAAAUUUAAAUAUUACAACAACACUAGUAGUCUAAUAAAUUUUCUCCGGAACUUCUAAAAUAUUGUCCAAACAAAUUUUUGUAACCGAAAAUGAAGCAUUAAGAAAAUAAUUUUAUGUAAUAAUGUGAUAUUUUGUUUGUAGUUUAAUAUUUAAUUAUGUAUUUAUAUUUAUAUAACCCAGUUGCAAAAAUGCAGAUUACAUUCCAGCAAAAUUCAUGUAAAAGAUGCUUUCCUUAGUGACGUGAAAAUAUGCUUUUGCACCUUUUCCAACUAUAAAUCUCGAUCAAUGUCUAAGUUCCUAGAACACAAUUCACAGUCUUCUUUAGAAUCCAAAUCGUAAGCCACUUCUAACCUUUUUAGAUUACAUAUGUAAUACGUAUGCAUAUACAAACAAUUACAUACAAACACGGAACCAUGCAUUCAAGAAGAUAAUUACAAUUUUCUUUUUUGUUCAAAUGAUAAUCACAUGCAUGCGAACACUUGCAAGUUCAUUUCCAUACUGCAUGUUUCAUUUUUUUUUAAUUAGCUUUUUUUUUUGUGAAGAUUGUUCGAAGAUAAAAUCGAAGAUGGCAACAAAAUCCAUGGGAGAUAUCGAGAAAAUAAAGAAGAAACUAAACGUGUUGAUCGUCGAUGAUGAUCCACUAAACCUUAUAAUUCAUGAGAAGAUCAUCAAAGCGAUAGGGGGUAUUUCACAGACAGCAAAUAACGGCGAGGAGGCAGUAAUCAUCCACCGUGACGGCGGCUCAUCUUUUGACCUUAUCCUAAUGGACAAAGAAAUGCCCGAGAGGGAUGGAGUUUCGGUACAAUUAAUUAAUAAUCUUAGUCUAUGGAAAUAAACAGAUUAUUUAAUUAACCUCAUGGCUAAUAUCCUUGUCACUUUCUUAUGUUCUUUAUUUUGUUUGUUUUAUUUAGACAACUAAGAAGCUAAGAGAAAUGGAAGUGAAGUCAAUGAUUGUUGGGGUGACUUCACUGGCUGACAAUGAAGAGGAGCGCAGGGCUUUCAUGGAAGCUGGACUUAACCAUUGCUUGGCAAAACCGUUAACCAAGGACAAGAUCAUCCCUCUCAUUAACCAACUCAUGGAUGCUUGAUGGAUAUAUAUUUAAUUUAUAUUAUGGAAACACAUAAUAACGUCUAAGUGUGUAUGUAUGCAUAGAUACUUGCAUGUGUGUGUUUUAGAAUUUAGGGUUCUUUAUCGUCCGUGAUAUAUAAUCAUGUAACCUGUUGCUUUAAGCUUAUAAAAUAUUAAAAUAAGGGUUUCCUCUACCAGAAAAAGUAAAUAUACAAUUUUCAUUUUUCAUUUUAUUAAAUAAAUAGAUACUUCGACCAUUUAAGGAAUCCACCAUUUAAGUGAAUACAUAUAUAUAUAUCUAUCUAUCUAUAUUAUGAUCAUUUCUAUCUUGUUAUAGCAAAAAACAAUUAAACCACUGAUUACAAAAAAAUUAAACCAAAAUAUUAAACUAGUUCUCAUAAGUCAUUUAUAAAUGUUUAAGAAUAAUUUAUAAAAUAUUUAUAGAAGUUUAUAAGCCCAACUCCACCCAAUAAAUACUAGACCAUAAACAACUGUCACCAAAAAUUAAACCAAAAUAUUAUAGUAUUUUUGAUUGAGUGUAUAUUUGAAAAGUAGUAACCAAUUAAAAAUAUUUUAAACAAUUUCUCAAAUGACAUAAAUGUAAAUGUUUAUGUCGCGUUUAGCUAUAAAGUUAUGUCAUAAUUGUUAAUAGUCUAUGGAUCUUUUUUUUUUUUUUUUUUUUUNNNNNNNNNNNNNNNNNNNNNNNNNNNNNNNNNNNNNNNNNNNNNNNNNNNNNNNNNNNNNNNNNNNNNNNNNNNNNNNNNNNNNNNNNNNNNNNNNNNNNNNNNNNNNNNNNNNNNNNNNNNNNNNNNNNNNNNNNNNNNNNNNNNNNNNNNNNNNNNNNNNNNNNNNNNNNNNNNNNNNNNNNNNNNNNNNNNNNNNNNNNNNNNNNNNNNNNNNNNNNNNNNNNNNNNNNNNNNNNNNNNNNNNNNNNNNNNNNNNNNNNNNNNNNNNNNNNNNNNNNNNNNNNNNNNNNNNNNNNNNNNNNNNNNNNNNNNNNNNNNNNNNNNNNNNNNNNNNNNNNNNNNNNNNNNNNNNNNNNNNNNNNNNNNNNNNNNNNNNNNNNNNNNNNNNNNNNNNNNNNNNNNNNNNNNNNNNNNNNNNNNNNNNNNNNNNNNNNNNNNNNNNNNNNNNNNNNNNNNNNNNNNNNNNNNNNNNNNNNNNNNNNNNNNNNNNNNNNNNNNNNNNNNNNNNNNNNNNNNNNNNNNNNNNNNNNNNNNNNNNNNNNNNNNNNNNNNNNNNNNNNNNNNNNNNNNNNNNNNNNNNNNNNNNNNNNNNNNNNNNNNNNNNNNNNNNNNNNNNNNNNNNNNNNNNNNNNNNNNNNNNNNNNNNNNNNNNNNNNNNNNNNNNNNNNNNNNNNNNNNNNNNNNNNNNNNNNNNNNNNNNNNNNNNNNNNNNNNNNNNNNNNNNNNNNNNNNNNNNNNNNNNNNNNNNNNNNNNNNNNNNNNNNNNNNNNNNNNNNNNNNNNNNNNNNNNNNNNNNNNNNNNNNNNNNNNNNNNNNNNNNNNNNNNNNNNNNNNNNCUAUUAUUCAACCGGUCCUGGACAAAUCCAAAAACCUGUAUCUUGGACCCCCCAAGACUUUCCGGCAGACCCAAAUAUGAUCCCAUCCCUCCUAAAUUAUGUAUCCCUAGGAUGUCUCUCAAUUCCUGUCUCGUGGUCUCCUCAAUUUUAUGUCCAAAUUGAAUCGAGGAUUUCUGAAAAUUAAUCUGUUGGCCCGAAACCACCUCAUAUUCUUUCAAGAUCCUAAGGAUAGUAUGACAUUCUUCCUUCUGUGCCUUACAGAAAAAAGAUUAUCGUCUGCGAACAACAUAUGAGAAAUCGAAGGGCAAGCUCUUGCAACCUUCAUUCCUGUGAAUUGAUUACCUCUUUCAGCCUUCUUAAUAUUUGCAAUCAAAGCCUCAGUACACAUGAUAAAUAGAUAAGGGGAUAAGGGAUCCCCCUGGCGUAAACCUCUUUGAGGCACUAUAUGUCCACGCGGCUGCCCAUUCAACAAAACAUGGUAUUGAACCGAUGAUAUACAUUCCAUAAUUAAUUUAACCCAAUGCGGAUCAAAACCCAUCCUGAGAAGUAGCGCUUGAAUAAAACUCUAUUCCACCCGAUCAUACGCUUUGCUCAUAUCCGUCUUAAUUGCCAUAUAUUUACUUUGGCAAGCCUUAUUAGUCCGCAGUCCAUGAAACAUUUCCUGAGCAAUGAGAAUAUUAUCUGAAAUCAACCUUCCUGGCACAAAUGCAGAUUGUGUCUCCGAUAUUAACUGUGGGAGACAUAAUUUCAAGCGCUGGCAUAAGACUUUCGAAAUAAUCUUGUACCCUACAUUACACAAGCUAAUUGGCCUCAACUCUGACAUCCUUGUAGGCCUUUCCGUCUUCGGGAUCAUACAUAAAGACCCAUAAAUAAAGUAAAAAAAACCCAUAAAUAAAGACCCAUAAAUAAAGUAAAAAACUAGGUAUUUUUUCCGUGCUCAUGCACGGAUAUAAAUAUUUCUAAAGUAAAUAUGCUAUAAUAAUUGAUUGCUAUUUAUUUUAAUUUUAAAUUAAUUUAUAAUUUUUAUGCAUCAUUUAUAUUUCUAAAGUACAUAUGAUUUUAUAUAUGUUAUUUCUAAUCGGUUUUGUUGUUUUUACGGUCGAUUUAGUUAUCAUUUGAGUAAUUGGAUUGCAUCUUUGAAUUCAACUGUAAUAUUUUUUAUUUUAAUUAUUCUAAAAUUUUGAUUAAUUUCUUUUCAUUUAGGUGGUUGUUGUCUUAAAUAUAUAGAUAUAUUUUAUGAAGAUUAUGUAAAACUUAAGAUAUAUUGUGCUUAGAAUUAAAUAAAAAAUAAACUAAAGUGUCUUAUUCUAAAUGACAUAAAUUAAUAUAACGAUAAUAUUCUGAAGUCUCAUGCAUAUAUAUAAAUUUUACAAAAUAAAUAAAUUUUGCAGUUGGUUAAUAUUUUAUUUUCAUUUUAAUAUGUUUUUAGUUGUCCUAUAUAUUUAUAAAAUAAAUUACUAUUCUUAGAAAAUUGUAUAUUCUUAUCGUAGUUAAAUCUAUGAUUUUAGAUAAAAGUUGAAUUAGUCGAGUCACCCAUGUUGUGAAUAUAUUGAGUUACAUAUAUUUUUUUUAAAUUCAAAAUGAAAUAAAUUUUUUUUUUAUUAAAGUUAAGUCAAGUCAAAUCAAUUUUAUUCAUCGUUUAAAUGUGAAUGUAUUUUCAUAACAUUAAUCAAAUUAUAUAUUGAUGUUUUUAAAAAUAUAUUAAAAAAUAAAGCGAUGAUCAAUAAGAAAUUACAUGCAUAAGUAGCUGAUACAUUUUUGAAAGCUCAUGAACAUAUAUCAAUAUUUACAAUAAUUUAUAUAUUUUAUAAAUACUAAAUAACUUUAUGCCUUUUAUUUAUUGAAUGGAAACUGAAAUUUAUUUUAAAUAAUCUUAAAAUUGAGAAUUCAUAUUUGAUGUGAUAUUUUGAUUAUGGUUAUAUUAUGUUCCACAAACAUAAAAACAUAAAAUGUAAAAGCAAAUUUAAUAUUAAGAAAAAAAUAACUCUAAUAAUGAUAAAAUAUAAUAUACCUACCUCAUUAAACUAUUUUGUAACUAUUUGAUCAAACAAUGUUUAUUUUUAGUUUUUUAUUAUCUCAUAAAAUAAGCAGUAAACAAAAUUGUGAUUAUAUUUGAAAAUAAUAUUAUUUAAGUAAAAUAUAAUUUAUCAAAAAAUUAUUUGCUGUAAUUGAAAGAUAUUACAGUCAACUAAAUAUAUGAAAAAUAAAUAAAAGAUUUCAAUAAUACUAAUUAUAAACUAUUUUUAGUGAAUUAAACAUAUAUCAAUUUAUGUUACUUAAUUAUUUUAUGUAAAUAUCUAAUAAAAUAGAUAGAUAUAUAAUUUUUUUUUAAUGAAAUAAAAAUAGUUUUUAAAUGUAAUAUUACUAUUUUGUGAAUUUUCCUUUUUUUAUGAAAUAAUAUUAUAUAUACAUAUAUUUUCGUUUUUCAAUUCAUUUUUUUACUUUAUAAAAAAUGUUUCCUUUUUUUUUAUCAUAUGUAUAUGUUUUUUGGAAAAUUCUAAAGAGGAAACUAAAUAAAAAAAAGUAAAUAAUAGUAAAUAAAUAAUAGUAUUUUAAAUGAAAUAUUUUAAAUUUAUUAAGGGUAUCAUUAAAUUUAUUAAGGGUAUCAUUGUAAUCAACCACCGUGAAAGUUAACGUGAGCACGACACAUUGGAAACUAACUUCUCAAAUUAUAUUAUGGAGAUCACUUAACAAACAAAGAACCGAGACAAAGCUAUAAACAGAAUUGGUGAAUGGUAAAAGAUAUUUCAAAAUUAGUUUUUUUUUUGUGUGUAAGGAGUUAUUGGAUGUGAUUGGUAAGAGCUGUGAUUUUCUCUUUUUUUUUGCUGUAAAAAAAGUUGCUGUGAGCUUUAAGAAAAUAUAAAUCAAGAUUGACGUAGAUUUAGAGCUGUGGGUAUAAUUGUGGCUGUGGAGAGCAACUACAUCAAUAGCCAAUCAUACCCAUUACUAAUGACUAAGAGCAUCUCCAAAAGUAUCCUUUUGAGGGUGUUCCUCUCCAAUGAUAAACCUUAAAACAAACUUUAAAAGUUUUAGAUUUUUACAUUAUAGUCUUUACUUUUGAAAAAAAUCAGAUAAAAACAUAAAUUUUUUAUAACAACUAAAAACAUACAAUAAAAAUAUUACAAACAAAAUUUAUAAAUAAAAAUAUUACAUUCUAAUAGCAAACCAUAUAUAAAUAAAAACUUACAAACGAAAUCACUUUUCUAAAAAUAUAUAGUUAUUCAUUAUUAUAUUUCAAUAAUGCUCCUCUACAUGAUUAAUUAGUGCAUUUUGAAGUUAUAAGUGACAAUAUAUAUUUAUUUAAAGUAUAUGUAAAAGUUAAAUUUAUAAGAACAUAUAUAAAAGAUAUACAAUUGUAUGGACUAAAAUGAUAAAGAAAAAAAUUAUCAAGACUAUUUAAAAGACAUAUAAUUACAAGGGCCAGAAAAAUGUGAAACCCAGAUAUAAGGGUUUAUACAGUAAAACUUCAUAUAGUUAUUAUUGGAGAUGUUCUCAAAGGCCAUAUAAGAAUUGGAAUCUAAGUUGAUGGUAUAGCCCAUGGGCUUUGCAACUGUGGCCCAUUAUAGUUUAAAGAAACCCUAGUUCCGUCCCCUAUAACUCAUUUCUCUUCCCACUCGACGCAGCUUCGCUUCCGCAACUCUCUUUGCUUCCUAUCUCUCAGCUCGAUUGUCGAUCUCCUUCAAAUGGUAUUUCCCUCCCUUGUAGUUCGAUUUAAAUGGUGAUGUGUUAUGUUCGAUGGAUUCAUGAAUCAAAAUUUUGUGCUUUUUUUUUGUAGGCGUCGGAGAAGAAGCUGUCAAACCCAAUGAGGGACAUUAAGGUCCAGAAACUUGUUCUCAACAUCUCCGUUGGUGAGAGUGGUGAUCGUCUCACUCGUGCCUCCAAGGUCAGUUUCUUUUCUUUUAAAGGAACUUAAGUAAGAAUCCGUACUUUAGGACAGUGCGUGUCUGAAUCGUUGUGUUUGGUCAUUAUUAGGUUUUGGAACAGCUAAGCGGACAAACCCCUGUUUUCUCAAAGGGUAUGUGAUUGUGUUCGUCUAAUGAAUCUUUUUUUCUUUAUAGUUUAAUUUUGAUUUUAGUUUUUGUUGAUCAUAUUUAUUGUUUUUGUGUAACAGCGAGGUACACAGUGAGGUCUUUUGGUAUCAGGCGUAACGAAAAGAUUGCGUGCUAUGUCACUGUGAGAGGUGACAAGGCAAUGCAGCUUCUUGAAAGUGGUUUGAAAGUUAAGGAGUAUGAGCUUCUUAGGAGGAACUUUAGUGACACUGGUUGUUUUGGAUUCGGUAUCCAAGAGCACAUUGAUCUUGGUAUCAAGUAAGUCAUUUAUCUAAUAUGGAUUACAUUGAUGCUUUGUUCAUAUACAUUAUGGAGUUUUUAUAGGUCAGCUUAUGGAUAAAUAUUCUUUUGCUGCAUGUAAUGACCAACCUCUAAUUAUGUACGUGCACUUUUUCAUGAUGAGUUCAGAUGUGGAAUUGAUUAAAGAUGAUGGCUUCACUGGUUUUUGUGGAAUGUUUGAUUAGAGAUGAAAACUUAAUUGGUUUUAUAAUAUAUGUGGACUUUCGUUUUCUUUUCUGUUUUUGUAAAAUAUCUGAUUUGGGUUUGAAGAAGACUUUCAUAAUGACUUUAGUGGUUUCUUUGUGGAAUGCUGGAUUUUGAUUUCUUAAUAUGAGUGAUUUGGUUGUUUUUAUUAUUCUCAUUUAUAUACGUUUUGUAUUUAGGUAUGAUCCAUCUACCGGUAUCUAUGGAAUGGACUUCUAUGUAGUUCUUGAACGUCCAGGAUACCGUGUUGCUCGUCGCCGUAGAUGCAAGGCUCGUGUUGGUAUCCAACACAGAGUGACUAAGGAUGAUGCAAUGAAAUGGUUCCAAGUUAAGUAUGAAGGAGUUAUCCUCAACAAGUCUCAGAACAUCACUGGCUAAAUUGUACUUGAAUCUUCAUAGAUUUUUGUUGAUUCUAGCUUUUGUUUUUCAAGUUAUCAUCUUUACUUUUCUGGAUAUUGAAGAAUCGCUUGUUCUAGUAAAACCUCUUUUUGACGUCAGUGUGGUAGAAACUAAAUUUCCAAGUUGUUUGAGUUACUGUUUUUGUUUUUUUUUACAAUUAUCAAAACCUUGGACUUCAAUGUUCCUGAGUUCUGCAAAAAAAUCGAUUAAUAAACAAUGCGCUAUUACAUGAAUCUCCUAGUAACGAAGUGAAGAGUAAGAGCAGUACACACUGUACAAUCAAGAGACUUAGUAGACCUUAACUACUCUUGAUGUAUCACAGACCAUAAGAUACUCAGACCAAUGAGAGCUUUUAUUUUAAUUACCUUGUUGCUCAGGUCAAUAUUCAAAUGGAGGAAAUCUCCCUCAUUAUUGCUGUUGUCUGAAUCAAGGCAUCUAAAGCAGACCUAGAUCUUAAAUGUCUUAUCAUUCCCACCUUCAAAUCCGGCAGAAUCAUCAGCAGAAGCAAGAAAAGAUUAUCCGCCGUUGCAUACCACCUUAACCAAUCAAAAAAUUCAAAUGAUAUCUACAUCAAUUCACAGGAACUUGAUAAACUUUCAGGAAAUGAGUUUUUCCCCUGGUUUACUUCAUCUUUGUUGUAACUGUAACUCUAUGAACCUCUCUAAUGGUCAGUGGCGGACCCAGCCCUAAAUUUAAGGGGUGUCAAAGAUUGGUUUUUGGCCCAGAACGAAAAUAAUUUUAAGAAAAAAAUAGUAUAAAGCAGGUGCAACAUGGAAUCAAAUCUGGGUUAUGUGGGUCAAGAGAAGAUUGUUAAAAUAUCAUAUUUUAGUUAGUAUUUAGGAUAUUUUUCAUAAAAAUUAAAGAUUUCUUUUUGCAGAUAUUUUAGAUUAUAGGUUAUGAAACAGUUAUUGCACCAGACCCACAUAAACAAUGAGACAACAUAGAGAAUGUUCGCACUACUUGAACCAAGAAAAGAAAAAUGUAAUACCGGUUGAAACAAAGAAAAGAAAACUUAGAGAGAAGAAGACAAGAGACAAAACUGUAAUUACUAAUUGUUCAUUGCUUUACGAAACUAUGUUCUUAUUCAAUGAAAGACAUGGCUCUUAAAUAGCCUUAUAACAAAAAAAAAGAAAAAAAAAACUCUUAAUAGAUGCAACUAAUUUAAACAACUUAGACCGAGAAGCUCGGUCAUUAUUUGAUCAUACUAAAACAUGAAAGACUAAUUCAAACUUGUAACUCCACCUUCUCAUAUCUUUUCGUGCUGAUUUGCUCCAACAAACCCUUACUGAACUUUUUUUAUAAGUUUUAUUUUGUCUCUAACUGAGGAAAUCUCAAGCCUACUCCUCAUCCUUUAGAACACUCUUCUUUUAGUGGUUUGUAAAGAUGUCUGCAACUUGUUUCUCUAAACCACAAUGCUCCAAACUAACUUCUCCAUCACUAACUAGGUCUCAUAGAAAGUGAAAUCCAACACAUGUCGAUGUAUUUUCAUAGAGAAUGACAAUAAUUCCAUCUACCUCAUAUCCUAGCUCCAUUAAGACACGUUUGAACCAAAUAGCUUGACAAGCACAAUUUGAGGAAGCCAUAUAUUCGGCUUCAGUUAUGGACAAUGUGACUAUUGCUUGCUUCUUUGAACACCAUGCUACAACAACAUUAUCCAUAAGAAAUUCAUACCCCAAAGCUCUCUUUCUACUAUCAACAUACCCUGCGAAAUCACUAUCAUUAUAGAAAAGUAAUUCUCCCAUUCCUCCUUUGUUGUACUAGAUACCGAAAUAAGUUGUGCCUUUCAAAUACCUCAAAACCUUCUUUACUGCCUGGAAAUGUAUCUUUGUAGGAUUUGACAUGAACCAGCUUAACAAAUUUGCAUAGAAUUGCAGAUCAGGCCUUGUGGUGGUGUUAUACACGAGGAUCCCUGUAUAAAUAAGAUAAUCGACAAAAUUGGCAAUCAAGAUGUUACCUUGAUUUUUGAUCUUGAGAAACAAGGUUUCUUCAUUCUGGUACUUCAUGAAACUUACCAAAAAAGUACUCUUCAGUGCGACUAAGCAUGCCCUUGGAGUUUGUUUAAGGCCAUAUAGUGCCUUGUGAAGUUUAUAUAUGUUUGUCUUAUUGUCUUUCUACUACAUACCUUUUUGGUUGUUGUAUGUAGAUAUCCUCAGUAAGAAUACCAUGGAGGAAGGCUGAUUCCAUGUCAGUCUGGUAUAUCUCCCAAGCUUUCUGAGCUGUUGUGGCUAGGAUGGUCAUGAUGGUGUCCAUGCGAGCAACACGAGUAUACACCUCGGUGUAAUCUAUUCCAUGUUCAUGUGAAUACCCCUUCGCUACAAACCUCUUUUUAUACUUGAUUGUCUCGUCAUGCUGAUUCAACUUUGUCUUGUAGAUCCACUUUACACUAGUGCAUUUAGCUUCAGAUGGGAGGAAAAAAGCUCCCAUAUCUCAUUCAUUACGAUUAAAUUUAUUUCCUCCUUCAUUGCUUUCCCUCCACUUUGAUACUGUUUAGCUUCUUCAAAGCUUGAUGGAUCAGUUGAAUCAUUUCAAAAACAUUCACUUUUUCUUUUAUUCAUCCUCAACAAGAUAUCGUGGUGCUCGUCCCUCCAUGACUUCCACAUUCUGCUCAUUUUGAGCUCUUUCUACAGUUUCCACAGGUUAUGGCGUUAUGCUAUCUCAUCACCACCACCAACGUUGUUAUCCUUUUUCUCACUUUCUUCCUAAAAAACAUCAUCAUCUUUCCAAGUCAGUUCAUCCGCACCAUGAUGAUCUUGAUCUUCUUCACAGUCCUAUCCCUUUGUUUCUUCAAAUACUACAUCUCUUCUCACCACAAUAUUUUUAGCCAUUGGAUUAUACAGCCUAUCUCCUUUUGAAUCUUCUGAGAAACAAAGUUGAACAUAUGUUGUGCUCAUAUUAUCAAGCUUUCCUUGUUUCUGAUCUGAGACAAUAAAGAAGAGAAACAUAGAGAAUGAGAAAGAAAAAAGUUUUAGGAUGAGUAUUUUGAAAAAACUUGGGGAAUCUUAUGUUUUUCUUCUUUUUUUCCUAAUUCGUUAUUAAAUUUUUCAUUUUUAUAGUGUAAAAUACUCUUUUUCAUACUUCAUAUGAAAAGGUAUAGUCUCUAAAUAUGAGUCAUAUGUGGAUAUCUCAACAAUAAAAAAUUAAGAAAAAAUAAAAAAUUAGAGAAAAAAAUUAGAUAUCAGAUCUCAAAUAAGUAUUUAUUAGAACUUUAUGUGAUACCCUCUUUCAUUUAUGUCGUUUUAUUAAUGGUUAGAUUACAUCAUAAACAAUGAAAUUUAAUUGUAAAAUAAAAGUGAACUAAAAUAUAAAUAUAAAAUUAUUAAGAACCUCUUUUAAACUUCUUGUCCGUUGAGGUUGCUCUAACAUUCUCUUCACCAAAGAAAAGAUUUGAACUCAUUUACAAAAAAAAAAAAAGGAUCUGAUUUAUCUCACUCUCACUCUUAACUCAUGAUUUGACAUUUUUUUUAAACUUUUCGGCUAAGAGACGUCUUUUGUAUAUCUCUUAUUUAAGAGACGGUUUUUACGUUUUCUUAGUUACAAGUUAAGAACCAUCUCUUAGCCGAAGUUAAGAACUCCAGUUAAGAGAUCGGGUUAAUCAUGACCGAAGUUCUCUUUUUGAAUCAAGGGUUUUUAUUAAUGGCUGAAGAACAAACUUUAAAAAAGAGAAAGAAAUACAGAGAAAGCCAAAGAACAAAAGCUAAAUGGUGAAACACAAACCCAUCUCAAAGAAAUUACUUCUUAGGUUCGGAACCAAUUUCCAAACAACUAAUUUUACCAUUUAACAUAUACUAAUUUGUGUAUUUGGAAAAUUGCCAAAAUUGACUUAAAACUUAAUUUUAAAUGUAAAAUAUACCAUGCUUCAAUCAAAUACAAAAGUAACCAAAAGCCUUUUGAAGUUACAAUAUUUCCAUAUGACCAAACAAAAAACCAGAAUGCAUUUUUACGAAUAUAAUCUUGGGAAGUCUUUUGUGGUUUUAAUGUCUACCGUGAGAAGAAUUCUAUUACAAAUCUUCUCAAGAAGUAGGUCUUAAAAAUAAUUUAUAAAUUCUUAUAAAAAAAUAUUUUUAUGGGGACGAUAUUGAAAUCAUGUAAUUAUAAACAUUUGCAAAACCAUAUAAAUUAAGAUCUUGUAAAAUUGAAUUGUUUUCAAUAUAGAUGAAUGAAUGUAGUGAGUCAUGAUAUUCUUUGGUUGAGGGCUUGGUAACAUACGUUUUAGUAAAAAAAAAAAAAAAAAAAAAAAAAAAAACAUAUGUUUUAGUAUUAUUUGUAUUUUUAGGGUUAGAUUUAUGAAGCUUAAUUUUUUUUUUGAAAAACUAAAUCUUAACCUAUAUGUGUUUAGUUUUAUGUAUAUUAAACACUUUUAAGUUGAUUUUAAGUUUUAUGAAAUGUUUGUUUCUACUUAGUUAGUUAUUUUGAGUUUAGGAUUUAGGUGACUUAAGUCUUUCAACAAAUAAUGCACUAGUAGAAGACUUCCGCAGAAGUCUUCUGGACAAAUAUUAAAUUUAGGAUCUAGAAGACUUCUAUGAAAGUCUUUUGAAUCGAAAAUAUUUAACCUUAUUGAAAAUUUUGUCUACCUAUAUAACGAUAAUUUACAUAUUAUUAUUUUUUCUUCUCAAAUGACGAAACAAAAAUGUAAUGUUCCUCACUCUAAAACUCUCAAACCUCGCUUUAAUUUUUUCGAACUUGAAAACACCAAACUUUAUAUCAAUUUCUCAUUUUUGUUUCAUGUUUUUCUUACUGAUUUAUUUUGUUUUUAAAGGUUUUUCAUGACAUGGUUCUCAUCUUCCAUUCUUUUAAAGGUAGAUCUAUAAUCAUUUUUCUUCGUUUGGUAACGUUUUGUUGCUUAAAGCUCUUACUUUUUGAAAACUUUUUUUUGUUGCUUAAAUCUCUUACCUUAUUUUUGAAGCUUUUCUCUGUUUUGAUACCAUUUAAAUGCUUUUGAUAUGCAUAUUUUUCAGAUUUUAGUUAGGCUUUCAAAGACUUUCAAAUAAGUCUUCUUAGAAGUUUUUUUUAACAUAAUGCACUAGAGGACUUCCCUGAAGUCUUCUGCCAGCGUCUUCUCUCAUGUCUCUUCUUUCGUAAUAGAUGUGAGCAUUUUGGUAAGUUUUUAUGUCUGAUUUUUCUUCAUUUGGUAACCUCUUAUUGGUUAAAGCUCUUACCUAUUGAAAACUUUUUUUGUUGCUUAAAGGUCUUACCUAAUUUUUGAAGCUUUUCUAAGUUUUGAAACCAUUUGAAUGCUUUUGGAUAUGCAUGUUUAUCGGAUCUGAGUCAGACUUUGGAUGGAAGUCUUCUAACAUAUAAUGCACUAUAAGAAGUCUUCUCACAGAGUCUUCUCCCAUGUCUCCACUUUCAUUACAGUUUUGAGCGUUUAUCUAAGUCUCCAUGUCUGAUUUUUCUUUAUUUGGUAACCUCUUGUUGCUUUAAGCUUUUAUCUAUUUUCCAAAUUAUGUCUUCUCACAGAGUCUUCCAUGAAGUUUUCAAAAACCUUUAACAUGAACAUGAGGACUAUCAAAGUUUAUGAUGUCUAUGUCAAGUGGAUUCCAAGCUUAUCUAUGUGGAGAAAUAAUCUCUAAUUCCAAGUGUAAUAGUUUUUUUUUUAUAGUUUGUUUUGUGAUUUAUAUGUAUACUCUUUUAGUUGUGGAUUCUUUUGUAAAUUUGAAGAGAUGUUAAUGAAAAGAAUUUGGUAAAUAUGUUCAUAUCUACAAUAUUAUCUUUCCAAAAAGUACUUGACAUUAUUAAAGUUCUAUGCAACUACAAUAGCAAAACAAAAUAACACAAAUAUUUAGUCAAAUUUACUAAAACUAAGGGAGAAGACUUCUAAAUAACAUAGAUAACUUUACAAAAUAUCAAACAUUAUAAGAGAAAAACAUAUAGCACUUUCAUUAGAAGACUUCUCGAUAGUAUAUAUUUUAUGUGGGAAAUUUUAAUCUGGAAUUUAAAAUAUAAGCGGAAAAUUUAAGCCAUAAAUUAAAAUUUAAGAGAAAAACUUGAAUUUUAAGUGAAAACUUAAAUUUUGAAUCUAAUGACAGUUAAAAAGUAUAUCUUAUAAUCUAAGAAGACACAAUAAUCCACAUGACUUGAUAUUUUUAAAAUUACUUAACACUUUUGAAAGUUAAAAUCAUAUCUUAAAGUCACUUAACACUCUUAAAAGUACAAGUUUACAAAAACUAAUGUAAGAAAUCUUAAUAAUUCAGAUUAGGUAGAAACAUUUAUAAACAUGAAUGUUGGUAACCUCAUAAGUAUCACCAAUUAAGUUUUGAAUUUCAUUCAUGAACCCCAAUAUUGACUAAUAUGCAUGAAUUAACAAGAAAAUAUUUUAAAAAAUCUUUUUAAUUUAGAGAAAAUAAAAAUUUAGUACACAAGACUUAGAAGACUUUCACAGAAGUCUUCCCCGAGAAGAGUUCUACGGAAGUUUUCUUGAAAUAGACUUCCGUGGAAGUAUACCAUUCAUGUAAUUUUUGCAAUUGCAAUUUUAUAAAGAAACACUUACAUAGACUUCUCUGGAAGUCUUCCUUUGUAAAUAUUGCCUUAGUUUUGUUUUUAAAAAAUUCUCGAAAAUACUAGAGAUUACUUUUCAGAUAAACAGGUUAGUUUUGUAAUUGACCGAAUUGUGUCAGAAAUUUGAAUUUCUAUAGAGGACUUUCCGGGAAGUAUUCCGAUGGAAGACUCUUGGGAAGUCUUCUCAACUGUCACUUAAGUCUUAUCACUGUAGGUGGAAUUCUGCGUAGGUUACUUUUGCAAUUGACAAUUAAAAAUUUAAUAUUUAUAACCAAAAAAAAUCACGUGAUAAAAAGCUAGAAGACUAUCAAGGGAAGUCUUCUAACUAAAAUUAAAUAUUUAAGUUUUAAUUGUCAACUGAAAAACUAACCUACACAGACUUCCACCGAUAGUGAGAAGACUUCCAGCGAAAGUGGGAAGACUUCCACCGACAGUUGAGAAGACUUCCAAGGAGUGUUCCGACGAAAGACAUCCCGAGAAGUCUUCUAUAGAAAGUCAAAUUUCUGACAUAAUUUGGUCAAGCAAAACUAACCUAUUUAUCUAAGUGACUUCCAGGGAAGCUUUCUCGUUUUUUUAUUAACAAAAAGAAGUUGAAAGACUUCCAGAGAAGUCGUCUCUAAGACACUCAGAUAAAGUCAUUUUCAAAAAUAACAUAUGCAUUAACCCUAAGACUUCCGUAUAAGUCUUCUACGACAAGAAGACUUUUGUAUAAGUCUUCUACAAUGAGAAGACUUCUAAGGAAUUAUUCUUGGCGAAUAAAUCUGAAAAAAUGAUUUCAUACCUUGAACAUUGAGAUGAUUUGUUUAGCUUCUCCAAACACACAAAACUUCACCACGAAAACGACCUUCUCGUUAAUGACCAAGAUUCAUGAGCUUGAAUGACUCUAAGAACCUUACAAAGUAUGUAAUCAAAAUCUUGGGGAUUUUUUGAUGAAUACAGAGAGAAACUGAAAAAUAUGUAGUUUUUCUGCAUAAGAAAUGAGAUAUGAGGAGUGGAAAUUGAUUUUUAGGUGCAUUAAAAGUUUCAAAUUGGUUGUUCAUGGUGGUUGAUGUAUUUAUGACAAUUUAAAUAUUGUAAAUACUUGAUGAAGGUGAGGAUGAUAGAGUAAAACACUUAUUUUAAAAAAAGAAGAAGGUAUUUUUGUAAUAAUUUGAUUUUUUGGAGUGAAUAGGGCAAAUGAAAGUUCCAAAAAUCAUGUGUUAGUUUUGGGGUUUAGUUAAAGUUUUCAAUCAUAUUUGGAAAACCCCCUUGUAUAUUUUAGGUGUUGGAUGAUAAUUUUUAAAGAAUAGUCCUUUUGUAACAACUAAUAGGAAAGCUAUUUUAAACUGAUACUUUUUUUUUUGAAAAGUUAUAACAUUAGUUUGUUUGAAAAUUAAUGUAGAUAUGUUUUAUGGUUGUUUUAGUUGACAAAAGAUAAUAAAUGUUAAAAGUUAAGAUUAAGUAGUUCUCAAUGGUAUUGGAGUGUAACUAAAAAUUAUUUUAAAGGUAAGUUCAUAGUUGUACUUCAAUUUUAAUAGAAUAUAUAUAUAUUUUGUAAGUAAACUAAGUUUAGAAAAUUUUCUCAAAUAUCAAAUAUAUUAAGGUGAUAUUAAUUUUGCACAUACAGUAAGGUCAUCUUCUCAUUAUCAAUAUUUACUCUUUUUUUUGUAACACCAUCAAUAUCUACUUCUCUUCUUUCUUUCCAUUUUCUGUAUAUUUUAUGUUUUUGACAGUUACACUAAACCUUUUUUUAAAGAUCAAUAUUAAUUAGUAUAUAACUAUAAAAAAUAAUAUUUGUCUCAAAAGAAAUCUCCAAUCUGUCUUAAUUGUAAUGCGUUAGUUUUUUAAAAAAAAUAUUUAAUUAAACAAAUUAUUUAAUUAAUAAAUGAAAUAAAAAUUCAGAAAAUUACAGAAAAUUAAGUAAAAUUUAUAUAAAAAUUCAAAAAUAACAAUAAAGUUUUUUGAAAUAUAAAAAUAAAUAUCUUAAUAUUUAAAAUAAAUUAUAAGAUAUCUUCAUCGUUAACAAUGAGAUUUCUAACAUAUCAAUGUUGAUUGUAAUGGUUUCAAACACAUCUUUGAUAACAAUGAUGAUUUCAGACAUAUCUCCUCCAUUGACGGUGAUGAUUUUUGACAUAUCACUGCUGAUGAUAAUAACUUUUGUUGAUGAUUACUUAUAUAUAUUUUUUUUUGACGAAAAAAAUGAUUAAAUCCGGGUCUAUUAAAGACACAAACCAAAAUUUUUUUAUGUAUAACCAUUAACAACUGUUUUGACAUAUCUCUGAUGAAAGUUUUCGACAUAUCAUGGUUGAUAAUGACAGUAGGUAUGUUGAUAACAAUGUAUUUAACAAUUGUCCUUUGUUAACGAUGAUAUGUCAGUUUUUAAAAAAAGCAUCAUAUAUAUAUAUAUAUAUAUAUAUAUAUAUAUAAAUAAGCUAUUUUUAAUUAUUAUUUUUUUCAAAACUAUUGUAAUUUCUAAAUUUAAUUUCCUAAUUUUCUGAAAUUUUUUGAAUUUUAUUUAAUUUUCUGUCUUUCUAUUUAUUUAUUAAUUAAUUAAAUAAUUAUCUUUUAUAAAAAAUGAAACAACAUCGUUUUUGCAAGUGCCGGUCAGUUCUUUUACGCGAUGAACAAGUAGGCUAAAAUGGAGGUUUUUUUAAAUAUAAAUGCAAUUUUGAUGGUUAAAAAUGUUAGUAAAAACCUUUAAGGUUUUUUUUUAUUACAAUGAACGACUAUCCUAUUACUCAAACAUGAGGUGAUCUGGGUAACCAGAUCGAAAUAGAACAACCAAUAAAACAAAGCUCUCUAUGGAAAGACCUCACAGUCCUACUAAAGAGUCAGAAAUCUGAUUUUGCGCUCGUGAAAUAUGAGUGAUAUUAAGGUUUGAAGUGUUAGCAAGUGUCACUUUGAUGGUUUUUAUGCUAUUUCCCUUAAUUAAUUUGCGUGCAUGUAGUUUUUGAAGUCUGAAAGAAAAAAAAAUACAAAUAAAAUUGCCUUGUGGAAGACGCCUUGGUCCAAUGGUUUGACUAAGAAUUCAUUAAUGCUUCUACACCAGGAGGUCUGAGAUUCAAACCCCAUAAAAUGCAAAUUAUGCAGAUCAUGGAGAAAAAGAGUUACAAGAGGUCUUCAGCAUGGUGCAAAAGCGUAUCAUCGAACAUGGAUCUCAUAGUGCGGCUCGGAGCGAUGCAGUCAAACGUGCAUUCUCAUAUGAUGGUAGAAUUGUCGGCUGUAGAAUCGUCUAUUUAAUAUUUCUCAUCGUUGUAAUAUCAUACUUAAUCAGACGUUAAGAAAAAAAUAGUAAUUUGAAAUUAACUGAAAGAAAAUAAUUGGAUAAUCUCUUUCGUAAUUUUGAUAAACAAAUGGUUAACGUUGACCCUAUGCAUGAGUUCUUUUACCUUCUGACUCUAUGCAUGAGCUUUUACCUUCUGACAAAGGAAACAUUUAAUUUUGGUCCACAUCUUUAUUAAUACCAAAACGUUUUUUGCCAUUAAAAAUAAACCCAAUGCCUCACUAUAAAUACUCAGUAACACAUCUCAAUAGCUGCAUACUCAUUUCAUACUCACUACAAUUUCCUAACUUUGUUUGAUAAAAAUUCUAAAGACCAGACCCAGAUAUGGCUUGCAGACUUCUUUGCCUCCUCGUCGUCUUCGCCAUCAUCACCUUCGUUACCCACGGUAUUUAUAUUUUGUAUACGUAAUAUAAUAAAGACUUUUAUGUGUGUUUUUGUUUACAAUAGUAUAAUAUUAUAUUUUCGUUGGAAAAUUUGGAAGGGUCUGGACCACAUUGUGGACUUAAUGACGUAACUCUGAGACAAUCGAAGUCCGGAAUGGUUGAGAGCAAACCGGUGUGGAAAGUGACACUGAACAACCCAUGUAUAUGCUUGCUCACUAACUUAAAGUUGUCAUGCACCGGUUUUGAAUCGGUCGUGCCUGUUGAUACGUUGAUAAAAACCGGUGACGUGUGUGUUCUCAACAAAGGUAUACAAGGAGACUUUGUUUUCAAAUAUGCAUGGGAUACUAGCUUCGACUUCAAGGUCAUUGAUGGCACGUUUUGCGCAUGAAAGCUUUCGAGUAAAUUCGAGCUUAAUUGAACUGAUGAUAUUUACUCAAAUAUGUUUAGAAUUUUGAUAUGAAUAAAAAAUAAUUUCCUUAAUAUUGAGUUUUAUUAGCUAUUUGGCACGAACUUGAUUUUGUUUUUAAUUAGAACAGUACAGUAUUCUUAAACCAUCAAGCAUGUAUUUUGCCGUAAGUGAGUUUAAUUAAUUUUUAGGGGCCAAAAUAGCUAAAGAUCCAAUGUCUCAGAUGUCUCUAAGAUAUGUAUGUCAAUGUUAAAGUCCCAAAUUUAAGUUGUCAUUGAUUCAAUUGUAGUUAAUUUUCCAUUCUAUAUUUGUAUUUCAAAGACUGUUGUUUUGACUUAAUUUAAUAUGAGUGAUAAAUUUUAUUGAGAAACAUAUAAAUUUUGUAGAAAAUUAAAAAUCAAUGGAAAGAAAUGUUUAUUUAAUUUUUAUUUUAAUACAUAAUAAAUAACCAAUUACAUCAUCAUAAAAUCUCUUAUUCUAUUACAUUUGAUGAUCAAUCUUCCAAAAAAUGUGAUAUUGAUGAACAAUUCCAUGCAUAAUGUUUCCACGAUGAAGCACUCUUCGAAACACUUACAUUAACGGAUGGUUCUACAUGUACGACAUCCUCGAUGAACAUGAUCUCUCCACAGCAGACGACCACAACGAAUAGUUCUGCCAAUAGUACUUUGAAACCUCAUUUAAACUUAACAUCUUAUAAUCUGUAAGAAAUUACAUUUUCUGGGAUUAGAACCUAAUAUAGUAUAACUUCUUUAAAUUAAUACUCUAUAAAUUAAUAUACACUAAAAAUCUCUAUAAAAUAAUAUAAUUUUAUAGUCCCAAAUCGAGUUUUUGGUUCUAUUAGUAUAUCAAUAAAUUAAUAUCUCUAUAAAUUAAUAAAAAAAUUAUAGUUUUGGUUUAGUCCUAACAUUAUUAAUUUAUAGAGGUUUCACUGUACCUAGAUGUAAAAGCUUUUUAUUAGUAUGUGUGAAAAUGCUAAAACAUCAAUAUUUAAAACGUCAAUAUUUACGGAUGGAGUACUAUUAUAAAAAAUAAAUAAAGUAGGUAGUAUUUAAUAUUAUUAUUUAGAUGCCUAAAAAAUAAAAUAAAAUAAUUGUUCAUUUUAAUACUGAUAAUAAUAAUAUAUCUCUAUGAAGUAUUAGAAAAUACUUUACCAACAUAGAAAUGAAAAACCUGUGAGAUAUUAAUUAUUUUAAAAGUAUAUGCAUGAAACAUAUAGUUUGACAAUAUUGUUUUUAAAUUUUAAAUUUAUUUUUAUAAGAGAAUCAUUAGUCAUGGUUUCUGAACAUUAUUUUAUUAAUGUCUUAAAGUAACUCAAUUAUGUAAUAAUUAAAAUUAUUUUAAAACUAGCUCUUCCACUUACAGAAUAACACGUGACAAGUUAGUUUCUUAACUUUUCAAUUAAAAUACCAUCAGCAACAAUCCAUUAUUGUUUUUUCUUACGUUUAUUUGAUUUAUCAAUACUAUUAAAAUGGAACGGGUUCCAAGAAAUCUACUUACAAAAAAUUGUUGUCCUUAUUAAUUAUAACUUCGAAUGUUUUAUAAUAUAUAUGCACUAAAUGUGUUAUUUGGCUUUACACUCCCUUAUUAUUUGCUAGACCAUCCCACAAAUAGUUCUUAUAUAAAUGCAUUUCAGCAUUUAUUAUCUUUACAUAUUGUUUUAUUACCACACGAUCUCAACAUCUAUUAGGCAUACAUAUUUUUAAAAAUCAAAAGUCAAAAUGAAAUGCCUUCAAAUAAUUAAACCAUUUCCGUAAUGUAUGUUUUUACUAUAUUAUCGAUAUACUGAUAUUGUAACCGUUAAGAAACUAUAUAUUAAAUUUUAUAUCACGCUUAGUAGUUAGUACUAUAUAUAAUAUGUACAUUCGUAGUUUUCUAUGAUUUAGAUUAUACUUCAACAUCCAAUAUUGCACUCAGUUUAUGUACGGGUUUUUAAAAACAUUCAUUACGGAAAUUAUUAUAUACUACUAAGAUUAAAUUAAACCAUUUUACUUAGUUUAAAAUAUUAUACCUGCCAAUACUGAAGAUAUAAAAUAAAAAUACAUAAACAAAAAUCUAAAACUAACUUUUUAAAAUCAAUUCCUUUUAAUAUCUGAACAAACAAUCGAACAAAAAUUUGAAAUUGCUUUAGUCAAAAAAAUAAACGGAAAUCGACAAUGCGAAUUUCGGUUCCCACAUUCACCACGAAAGUGACCUUCUCGUUAAUGACCAAGAAUCAUGAGCGUGAAUGACUCUAUGAACCUUACAAAGUAUAGAAUUAAAAUCUUGGGAAUUUUUGGAUGAAUAUAGAGAGAAAGUGAAAAAUAUGUAGUUUUGUGCAUAAGAAAUGAGAUAUCAAGAGUGGAAAUCGAUUUUUAGGUGCAUUAAGAGUUUCAAAUUGGUUGUUCAUGGUGGUUGGUAUAUUUAUGGAAUGUAAAUAUUGUAGAUAGUUGAUGAAGGUGAAGAUGAUAGAGUAAAACACUCAUAUUUAAAAAAAUUGGCAUUUUUGUAAAUAAUUCAAACUUUUAGAGUGAAUAAGACAAAUGAAAGUUCGAAAAAUCAUGAGUUAGUUUUGGGGUUUAGUUAAAGUUUUGAGUCAUAUUUAAAAAGACCCUUGUAUAUUUUAGGCGUUGGAUGAUAUUUUUUUAAAGAAUAGUCCUUUUGUAACAACUAAUCGGAAAGUUUUUUUAAACUGAUACUUUUUUUUUGAAAAGUUAAUAUAUUAGUUAGUUUGAAAAUUAAUUUAGAUAUGUUUUAUGGUUGUUUUAGUUGACAAAAGAUAAUAAAUGUUAAAAGUUAGGAUUAGGUAGUUCUCAAUGGCAUUGAAAUGUAACUAAAAAUUAUUUUAAAGGUAAGUUCAUAUUUGUACUUCAAUUUUCAUAGAAUAAAUGUAUUUUGUAAGUAAAUUAAGUUAAUUUUUUUUUUCUCAAAUAUCAAAUAUAUUAUGGUAAUAUUAAUUUGAGAUAAUUGGCUAAGGAAAUUGGGUAACUACCCCCAAACGCUGAAAAAUUCUUCGUACAUUGUAUACUUUUGGUCUCUCUUGACAGUAUUACCCCUGCCCAAACAUUCAUGCCUUUCUCUCUCUUUCCCCAAUCUCCAUAUGUAUUAUAUCUCUCUAUUUUUUUAUUUUUUCUUCUCAAAACACAUAUCUUUUCUCAAUCUUCAUUGAAGUUGAAAGUUUCUCCUCAAACCCACAAUCAAUUUUCUCUUCGAAUCUUUUAACAAUACACAAUUCCUACACUAAUCUCCUCAUCUUCAACUCAAUUCUUAGACACACCAAAAAAAAUCCUCCAAUUUAUAAAUCUCCCAUCAAUGAAUUAAGGAUUACAAUUGGUUGCAAGAAUCAAUAAUCUAGAGAGAAAAAAAAAACACAGUAGGAAACUCAAGCGUAUAUUGUUGUACGUUAACAAAUAAUAUUUAACGUUAUGUUUUAAAGUAAAAUAUAAUAAAAAUUGUUAGUGGAUAACUUCUUUAUUAGACACAUAUACUUAUCACGUAUCAAAAAUAAUUACUUCAAUCUUAUAUGUUAUUUUACCAUAUAAAAUAUAAUGUUAAGUGUAAUUUUUGGUUUAUAUAAGAUAUAAUCAUUGUUAACCUUAAAUAAUAAACAUAUAAUGAUGUAGUUAGUCCGAUAUCUUAUUUUGUUGCAUUUAACAAACCAUGUGGCAGCUAACGUUAUAUACAUUUAACAUCUUACCAGCCAUUUUAAAAGCGACAAAAUGUUUCAUAACAGCUAGCCAAAUAUGUAUUAGAUAAUGAACAUAUUUUGUAGAAAUUUACAAACCAUGUAUUAUAAUACAUCUAUUUUAAAGCAAAUGAGGCUUAACGUUAAAUUAUAACAUAAACGUUACAUGGUUUUGUAGCGGAUAAAUUUUUCAUCAGAAGUAUAACUUAUAAAGCACAACAUAAAUGACUUCAAUCCAUUAUGAUAUUUACAGAUAAACAUAAACUUGGAUGUAAUAUUGGUUUAUAUAUAAUAUAAUAAUUCUUAACGGUUAAGCAUAUAAAAUGGGUAACUACCCCCAAACGCUGAAAAAUUCUUCGUACAUUGUAUACUUUUGGUCUCUCUUGACAGUAUUACCCCUGCCCAAACAUUCAUGCCUUUCUCUCUCUUUCCCCAAUCUCCAUAUGUAUUAUAUCUCUCUAUUUUUUUAUUUUUUCUUCUCAAAACACAUAUCUUUUCUCAAUCUUCAUUGAAGUUGAAAGUUUCUCCUCAAACCCACAAUCAAUUUUCUCUUCGAAUCUUUUAACAAUACACAAUUCCUACACUAAUCUCCUCAUCUUCAACUCAAUUCUUAGACACACCAAAAAAAAUCCUCCAAUUUAUAAAUCUCCCAUCAAUGAAUUAAGGAUUACAAUUGGUUGCAAGAAUCAAUAAUCUAGAGAGAAAAAAAAAACACAGUAGGAAACUCAAGCGUAUAUUGUUGUACGUUAACAAAUAAUAUUUAACGUUAUGUUUUAAAGUAAAAUAUAAUAAAAAUUGUUAGUGGAUAACUUCUUUAUUAGACACAUAUACUUAUCACGUAUCAAAAAUAAUUACUUCAAUCUUAUAUGUUAUUUUACCAUAUAAAAUAUAAUGUUAAGUGUAAUUUUUGGUUUAUAUAAGAUAUAAUCAUUGUUAACCUUAAAUAAUAAACAUAUAAUGAUGUAGUUAGUCCGAUAUCUUAUUUUGUUGCAUUUAACAAACCAUGUGGCAGCUAACGUUAUAUACAUUUAACAUCUUACCAGCCAUUUUAAAAGCGACAAAAUGUUUCAUAACAGCUAGCCAAAUAUGUAUUAGAUAAUGAACAUAUUUUGUAGAAAUUUACAAACCAUGUAUUAUAAUACAUCUAUUUUAAAGCAAAUGAGGCUUAACGUUAAAUUAUAACAUAAACGUUACAUGGUUUUGUAGCGGAUAAAUUUUUCAUCAGAAGUAUAACUUAUAAAGCACAACAUAAAUGACUUCAAUCCAUUAUGAUAUUUACAGAUAAACAUAAACUUGGAUGUAAUAUUGGUUUAUAUAUAAUAUAAUAAUUCUUAACGGUUAAGCAUAUAAAAUUUGAAUAGACAAUGGUAAAGUUAGCAUGCUAACCUUUUUGGUAUCAUCUACCAAACCACAUAUCAGCUAUCGAUGUUAUUUUUAGCAUCUUAGCAGCUAUUAGUUAAAUCGAAAAUAUAUUUUGUAACAUCUAACCAAACAAGUAUCAGAUAAAUGAAACAUAUUCUAUAGAAAUUUAUAGCCAUGUAUCAUAUAACCAUAACUAAUUUGAAACAAAGAAAUUUAAUGUAAAGCUUUAACAACUAACCAAACUUGUAUAUGCUCACGAGACUUAUUUGGUAACAUCUAAUCAAACAUUUACUAGUUAACAGAAAUCUUGUUCUUGUUAUACAGCCAUGUUCCUUUACCAGCAUGUGAGUCGAAGAGAUCUCCCUUUUAUGCGCCAUAAAAUUGCUUAAAACGUUUAUAUCAUAGUGGAUCUCAAACAAAUCGACAAAGAAGCUCUGGUAGACGAACUCAUCGAGAGGAUAAUACUCUUUGGAUCUAGACAAUGUGUUGAAAGAAAUACACUAAAAUGAAAAGGUAUUCACAUCGAUGAAAACAGAAAAGAAAUGAAGAAUCCAUUGUAGAAAUGAAAAAAAUGAAUUUAAAGAUUUUAAAGAGAUAUAAGAGAGAGAAAGAGAAGAAGAUUAAUUAUUUGGACAAGAGAUUUUGUAGAAGAGACACGGGAGAGAAAGGGAGAGAGACAGAAGGAUUUUGGUCAGGGUUAGUUUUGGGGUUUAAAAAUAUCAAUAGUGUAUGUGACCUAAUUACUCUAUUAAUUUUGCACAUACAGUAAGGUCAUCAUCUCAUUAUCAAUAUCUACUCUUUUUUUUUUUUGUAACACCAUCAGUAUCUACUUUUUAUUCUUUUUUUCCAUUUUCUGUAUAUUUUAGGUUUUUGAUAGUUACGCGAACUUUUUUUUAAAGAUCAAUAUUAAUUACUAUUUAACUAUAAAAAAUAAUAUUUAUCACAAAAGAAAUCUCCAAUCUCUCUUAAUGUAAUGUAUAAGUUUUUAUAUAGAAAUUCAAAAAAUAACAAUAAAGUUUUUAAAAUAUUUAAAAUAAAAAUCUUAAUUUUUAAAAUAAAUUAUAAGAUAUCUUCAUCGCUAACAAUGACGAUUUCUAACAUAUCAAUGUUAAUUGUAACGGUUUCAUACAUAUCUUUGAUAACAAUGAUGAUUUCAGACAUAUCUCCUCCAGUGAGGGUGAUGAUUUUUUACAUAUCACUGUUGACAAUAAUAACUUUUUUUUUUUGAAACUGGACAAUAAUAAUUUUUGUUGAAGAUUAUUUAUAUAUUAUUAUUAUUGACCAAGAUUUUUUCUUUAUAACCAUUAACAACUGUAUUGACAUAUCUAUGAUGAAAAUUUUCGACAUAUCAUGGUUGCAAUGACAGUAGGUAUGUUGAUAACAAUGUAUUUAACAAUUGUCCUUGGUAACGAUGAUAUGUCAAUUUUUCAAACAAAAAAUCUUUUUUUUUUUUCAAAACUAUUUGUAAUUUAUAAUUUUAAUUUCCUAAUUUUGUGAAAUUUUCUGAAUUUUUUUUUAAUUUUCUGUCUUUCUAUUUAUUUAUUAAUUAAAUAAUUAUCUGUUAUAAAAAAUGAAACAUCAUCGUUUUUGCAAGUGCUGGUCCGUUCUUUUACGUGAUGAACAAGUAGGCUAGAAUGGAGUUUAAAAAAAAAUAUAAAUGCAAUUUUGAUGGUUAAAAAUGUUAGUAAAAACCUUGAAGGUUUUUUUACAACGAACGGCUAUUCUAUUAAUCAAACUUGAUGUGGUCUGAAUAACUAGACCGAAAUAGAACAAUCAAUAAAACAAAGCUCUCUAUAGAAAGACCUCGCAGUUCUAGCUAAAAAGUCGGAAAUCUGAUUUUGCGCUCGUAAAAUAGGAGUGAUAUUAAGGUUUAAAGUGUUAACAAGUGUCACUUUGAUGGUUUUUAUGCUAUUUCCCUUUAAUUAAUUUGCAUGCAUGAAGUUUAUGAAGUCUGAAAGAAAAAAAAUACAAAUAAAUUAGCCUUGACCCAGUAAUUUGAAAUUACCUGAAAGAAAAUAAUUGAAUAAUCUCUUUCGUAAUUUUGAUAAACAAAUGGUUAGAGUUGACCCUAUGCAUGAAUUCUUCUACCUUCUGACUCUAUGCAUGAGCUUUUACCUUCUGACAAAAGAAACAUUUAAUUUUGGUCAACAUCUUUAUUAAUACCAAAACGUUUUUUGCCAUUAAAAAUAAACCCAAUGCCUCAAUAUAAAUACUCAGUAACACAACUCAACAGCUGCAAACUCAUUUCAUACUCACUACAAUUUCCUAACUUUGUUUGAUAAAAAUUCUAAAGACCAGACCCAGAUAUGGCUUGCAAACUUCUUUGCCUCCUCGUCGUCUUCGCCAUCAUCACCUUCGUUACCCACGGUAUUUAUAUUUUGUAUACGUAAUAUAAUAAAGACUUUUAUGUGUGUUUUUGUUUACAAUAGUAUAAUAUAAUAUUUUCGUUGGAAAAUUUGGAAGGGUCUGGACCACAUUGUGGACUUAAUGACGUAACUCUGAGACAAUCGAAGUCCGGAAUGGUUGAGAGCAAACCGGUGUGGAAAGUGACACUGAACAACCCCUGUAUAUGCUUGCUCACUAACUUAAAGUUGUCAUGCACCGGUUUUGAAUCGGUCGUGCCUGUUGAUACGUUGAUAAAAACCGGUGACGUGUGUGUUCUCAACAAAGGUAUACAAGGAGACUUCGUUUUCAAAUAUGCAUGGGAUACUAGCUUCGACUUCAAGGUCAUUGAUGGCACGUUUUGCGCAUGAAAGCUUUCGAGUAAAUUUGAGCUUAAUUGAACUGAUGAAUAUGUUUAGAAUUUUGAUAUGAAUAAAAAAUAAUUUCCUUAAUAUUGAGUUUUAUUAGCUAUUUGGCACGAACUUGAUUUUUUUUUUUUAAUCAGAACAGUACAAUAUUUUUAAACCGUCAAGCAUGUAUUUCGCCGUAAGUGAGUUUAAUUAAUUUUUAGGGGCUAAAAUAGCUAAAGAUCCAAUGUCUCAGGUGUCUUUAAAAAAUGUGUGUCAAUGUUAAAGUCCCAAAUUUGAGUUGUCAUUGAUUCAAUUGUAGUUAAUUUUGCAUUCUAUAUUUGUAUUUCAAAGACUGUUGUUUUGACUUAAUUUAAUAUAUUUUAUUUUAAAGUUAAACUUUAAUUAAAAUUCAAAAUAUAAGUGAUAUAAUUUUAUUGAGAAACAUAUAAAAUUUUCAGAAAAUUAAAAAUCAAUAGAAAGAAAUGUAUAUUUAAUUUUAGAGUAACACACUGCGUGAUACUCAAUGACGGAGUAGAAACUUUCUCUGAUGGCUCUUCCAUGGUUCUGAUACCAUGUGAAUCGCAAGAAACAGAGAUAUGAAGAUGAAAACUUUGUUCUUAUUAGACUGUUUCAACUUACAUACAAGAGUGACCCUUUACAUCAUUAUAUACAACUCUAGAAUCCUUCCAGUCAAACGUCAGCCCAUGACCGCAGAGCUGUUAAGAGCCUCGAAUCUGUUUGCUGUAACGAACCCUAGAGAUGGCGUGCUCGUACGACGGAGGUGCGUGUUGAAUGCUUUGGCACAAGACGACAAGACUGAAGCCGUAGAGUCUCCAACGGUCGACUUGUCUUGUUGAACUUGGGCUUUGCUCGAAGGCCCAUCUUCAAUAUGGCCUUUAUUCCUUUCGCUGUUUCAACACCAGUAUGCUUCCAAGAAUUUCAACAUCAUCAUAACCAAAGAGCUCAACCUGACUCCAUUGGUCAAGAGGCCUCUCUUGGCUCACAAAUAAUUGAUGGACAUUAAUUUCCAAGAAUGGCCAGUGGAUGUAAAUAUAAUGAUAAUAGGAUAAACAAUAGAAUAAUAAAACAGUAUAAAUAUAUUUAAAACAUUUAAAAAUGUAGAUAUUGUUUUUGUUGUCCAAAAUUAUAUAUUCUAUUAAUUUUCAAAAAAUAGUGCAUUAUGUGUUAUAGAUAUUUUUUUUGUUAAUUUAGAUUCUGGUUCGAGUGCGCUAAGGGGUAACUGAAAGAAGUUUGGGUGUUAACAGAGACAUAGCAGACGACGGCGUAGACAUGGGAGUCACGAGCUCUGGUACUCACAACGUCCAUAAAAUUUAAACCAAUGAAUUUGGUACGAGUUGUUAUGAUUUAUAACAUUUCCAGUGUAUAUUCUUCAUCAGGUGAUCAAACAGGAAUCGGAUCACGAUUAUCUCGACGCGCACGGAAUGCUUAUUCGGUCAUCAAAAACAACUCAAUCGCCUUCAGUAGGUUAGUAACAAUUGCAUUGUGAUCAGCAGUAGAUUAUAUUAUCAGCAUUCACUUAUAUUAUAGUCUAGACGAAACUUCUGGUAAAGACUGUGAAGAUAGAGUUACUAAUAUCGUCUACAAGGAAAUCUUCAAGGAUGUUCAAACAACUCAGGUUAGAUCUACACGUUUAGAUAAUAUAUCAAUAACAAAUUGAUUUCGUUAACAGGAACUGACAACACCCAUUACUUGGCACUGGUACUUGAAACAUCUCAUUACUUGCAGUGAAAGCAACCGGCUCUAAUGCUUGGAUGUCUUGGAUACAGGUUCACGAAGACACAUAGGUAGCAUCCCACUACUUAUCAUCCACUCUAAUGCUUCGGCAACAACAUCAGUUGCAAAACUACAGUCACUAUUAUUUUGAGACUCUUCACUCUAUUUACAUUUUUACAUUUCAUCCACAUACGACUCUUAUUUUAUACUAUUAAAUUAUUCUAAGAUGUGUACAAACAUAUAAAAAAAUAGAAAUAGAUUGUACACUCAUUAUAUUGAUAGGUAAAAAGUAUGCAUCGCAAAUGUAAAGACCAACCCAUAACAUUCUCUUCCUACGAUCAACACUCUAAUAGACAAAAAAAAAUAUAAACAUAGAUCCACAACUACGUAAAAAUAAAAUAUAUAUUUAUAUAGUCGAAUAAAAGACACGAUAUAAAAUAAUGUAAAAGAAUGAAUAAAUCAACAAUUGUACACCAUUGAAAUAAAAACAGAAUAAAACUUGAAAUAAACAAUCUUAUUAAUCCUAAGAAAAAAUUAAGUUAAUUGUAAUGAAAAUGAAACUAAACUAAAAUAAUGAAUCAUAUUAAUAUAUAACAAAUCAUUUUAAAAUAAAACAAAUAUUAGACAAAAAUCAAAAAUAUUUACUCUAACAAUUUAAAUUAUUUUCAGAUUAUCAUCCCGCCCGUCCUGUCCUAGUAUCUAUUUAUAAAAAGUAAAGUUCCCUCUCUUCAGAACUCUCCACGUCACUAAUUCCUUUCUUCCUAGCAUGACACGUGUCCGCCUAACUAGACGCAGCGUAUCAUUAUCUAUAUCAGAAAUUGGUUGGGCUUCACGUGUCUAGAAUUCUUUUUUCUUUAACAUUUUGUCUUUUGUUCGGGCUUAACUUGGGCUAACACGUUUGUUUCAAGUCUGUUCUUUUUUUAGGCAAACACAAAGGUCACGACAUUAUCGUGGAUGAUGUCGACUCUAGAUUUUAGGGUUCUUUGUAUUCUCAGAAUAGGUUCAACUACAAUGGAGGUUCUGGAAUCUUCCAUUCAUGUCGUCUUCGAUUCCUUAUUCAAUGCUCCUAAUCUCCUUUCAGCCGGUGGAACUCCACCUAUAAAAAAGGCCAGUCUCUAUCCCAUGAACAUCAUCCCACCAUCUUACUAAUCUUACAAGAGAAACUUUUUUACAGUAUUUUGGCUAACUCAUAUCCCCAAGAUUUCUUAGGGUCCAUCUCAUUGUUUUCUUCUUUCUUUCUUUCUGUAACUAGGUGCACCGAAAUAAAGUUUCUUGAAGCUUAUGGGAGAAGAAACUUCGUGGCGAGUCUCUUUAGCUAUAUCCGUUCUUCAUCUCAGAUUCUUCUCCCCCGGACGUUACGGGAUUCAUUGAUUCAGCGAUAUUCAAGACCAUCUUAACUCCUUAGCCACGGCCACGAUCCAACUUCGAUUACUCAUUCAAUGCAUCUUAUCUCUCUUCCCAUAAACAUCAUCCUAACGAAUCCUAUUACAAUAGAAACUUUGUUCUUAGUAUAACGGGUAAAACUUUGGAAACAGAGAAGAUAUGAAUAAAAGCAACAUUCAUAGCCGUUGUGUUAAAGAGACAGAAAACAGAGCAGUACGGUUGAUCUGCAUUUAGGAUUUAUUUCCCGGCACCAGUCCAUCGGCGUACUCCUUAAUCACACAACCAGUCAGACAACAAAAAAAAAACGGUGUUACUCCAAGAGCAACCAGAUAUACAGCUAAUGGAAGAGCCACAACCAGUCGUCAACGAUAAACUUCACACCGUCACCACCUGUCUCCUAUGCGAAGUCGUUCAUGUCUUCUCAUAGAUGUUACUCCAAGAGCAACCAGAUAUCAUCAGGAUUCGUGAUCACUAACGCUUCGUCUCAGGUCUCUGUUCGAGGGGUAAGCCUCUGUUUUUUUUUCUGUUUUCAGGCGAUUUUUAUGCCAACCACGUUUAAUAUCGGGCAAUUGUCAAUAAUAGCACCUUUUGAAGUUUAUGUCUCAAAAAUAGCACUAGAAUGAGAAAGUCACAAAAAUGACAUUCAUUAAAGGAUAAAAUAUCCCUAAUACACUUGGUUUAAAAUUAAAUAAAUAAACAAAAAUAUAUAAAAAUAAAUAAAAUAAAAAUAAAAAUAAAUAAAAAAAAAAGAAAUUUUUUUAUAGUUUCAGAUUAUAUGUUUUCAGAUUCAAAAUUUUUAUAAUUUUUUUUUUUGAAUUUUUUUUUUGAAAUUUUUUUUAUUUUUUUGAAAUUUUCUUUUUAUAAUUUAAAAAUACUUUUUGAAACUGUUUUUAAAAUUUUUAUUUUUUAUUUUUAUUUUUUAUAAAAUUUUAAACCUUAAUUCCAAAACUCUACCCCUUAAUUCUAAACCCUAAGGUUUGGAUUAAUUAACCCAAGGGGUAUAAAUGUAUAUUUACCUCUUUAAUGAAACAUAUCUUUGUGACUUUGAACCUUGAGUGCUACUUUGGGAACAAAAACUUGGUUUGGUGCUAUAAUAGUCUUUUUCUCUUUAAUACCAGUGUACCAAAUUCUGUUUUCAAUUUAUUUUCUCCAUUUACAGAUGGUUUUGAAUCUGUUUGCUUAUUAUGAUUUUGGUUUUUUUUUUUCUGUUUUCAGGCGAUUUUCAUGCUGGCCACCGUCAACGUCUAACCACUUACAUGCAUCUUUUGAAAGCGAGUUCAAUAUACUCCUUGAGCAUAAUCAUGUAAGCAUAAUCAUUCUCAUCUAUGAUUUUAGAUCUCUUUGCAUUGAUCAAUAACAGCAUUUAGUAACCCACAAAUCUAAAGUUAUCCCCUUUCUGUAACACAUGAGAGUUGUGUAGCUUUGGAAAACUCUUUUAGUGUCACUUGAAUUGAUCUUUGGGUUGAUUUUUGUAUGGUAGCAAAGUUGUAGAGUCAUUAAGUAUCACUUUCCAGGACCCUUCAUUCUCGCCACUUCUGAUAUGGUAGAAGAAGUAUAUGUGACAGCUGAGGGUAGUGAAUGAUAGUUGUACCUGAAAGCGAAAUUAUCAAACCCCUAAAAGCUGGAGCCGAAGCUUCUAAGAAGCAAUUGAAAUGUGGACAGAAGUUGCUCUAGGUAAAUUCUGUUUAACUUUUUCUCUAUGAUUGAAAAUUGGUUUCAGUUGAUAUAUAUCUGCACUUAUAUAGUUAUAUGGUCUGAUUUGCAGUUUAAUUAUGGCUGCAAAAGACCAAGACCCAUAGAAUUUAGUUAUAUUAUCGCCACUGCCUCCUACUCUGCUCCCUUUGCAGUAUAUCAUCAAUAAUAAAACGUAUGUGUGAUAAGAAGAACGCUUUUCAGUAUGUUUUUGUUGUAGUUUUGCAAAGAACAUAAUCUCAGGAUGAUGAAAAUUUCAUAGCCUAUGGCGACAUGUAUGCAGAACCUUCAGCAAGGAAAGCUGGCCAUCAAUCUGCAAAUAACAGGACCGUGGCUACAGGAAUACCAGGUAUUUUUUAUCCCAGUAGAUAGAUAAUUGGUGGAGAGGUGAUGUUGAGAUAUUAAAACUGGAAUAUGCCUAAAAUGCAGUUGCUUCUGGGCCUGUUUGUUUCUCCAUCUGGAUGGACCAUCUCGAUGAAGAUGAGAGUUUUGUUUGUUUAGGCACUAAAAGUGCAACUCAUUCAGAUGGAAUCAUCCGGAUGACUUUUGAAAAUUUAGGCUUAAUUUUAAAGUCCAUUCAGCUGAACUAAUUUGGAUCAUUUGAAUGGAGAUGGUUAAUUCAAAAUGGUAUAAUGUCUAUUAUAUCCAUAAUGUAAUUCACAAAUUACAAACUUAAACAUAAUAUCAUUUUUGUCACAAACGAAAACUGACAAAACUACAAAACACUUUUUUCCGUGCUAAAAACUACUUUUUCACGCCAAAACUCCAAAACGCAUUUUUCCGCUAAAAUUUCAAAAAAAAUGUUUUCCCGUCAAAAUUGCAAAAACGUGUUUCCCACAAAAACCGAAAAACAUGUUUUCAUGCCAAAAUUGUUGAUAAGCUUGAAGUAGCUUAUAGAUAAAGCUAUCUGUUUAGGAAAUAGGAAAGUCCUUUGAUAAUUAGGAGUAUCUAGUUAUCAUAUGUUAUGUGAGUUUAGGACUUUAUAUUUCAUAUAUAAACCGAUGUCAAUGUGAGACAUACGGUGUGGAUUGUGAGUGAUUGAAAAGCUUAAGUUUUGUGAAGUUUCUUAAGCAUAAAUAAGAGAGUAUUCUUAUUUGAAGUUUGGUCUUUAUUUCCUAUAGUUGUGAUCCUUUAUUUGGUAUCAGAGCCACAGGACAUUGAAAGUAACUGAACUACGACGAUGGGAGAUGUCAAAGAUGAAAUCGUGUUACACAAGGACAAGGGUCCUGCCUCCAUAAAGUUUCCUAUGUUAACCUCCACCAACUACACCGUCUGGGCUAUGAGAAUGAAGAUAGCACUAAAGGUAAGUGAAGUUUGGGAAUCAAUCGAACCAGGAGUAAAGGAUGAGAAGAAAAAUAACAUGGCAACUGCGCUUCUGUUCCAAUCGAUACCAGAGGCAUUAACCUUGCAAGUAGGUGAUCUUGACACUGCAAAAUCUGUUUGGGACGCUAUAAAAGCGCGUCAUGUUGGAGCUGAGCGAGUGCGUGAAGCAAGGUUACAAACCUUGAUGGCGGAAUUUGAUAGAAUCAAGAUGAAAGAUGGAGAUGCAAUCGAUACUUUUGUUGGAAAGCUAUCAGAAAUAACCUCAAAAUCAGCUUCGUUGGGAGAAACAAUUGAAGAACCAAAGCUUGUGAAAAAAUUCUUAAAAAGCUUGCCAAGAAAGAAAUAUAUUCAUAUAGUGGCUUCUCUUGAGCAAGUUCUUGAUCUCAAUACUACAAGCUUCGAGGAUAUUGUUGGUAGACUAAAGGCCUACGAAGAAAGAGUUACUGAAGAGGAAGAAGAAGACUCGCAGGACGACUCCGGGAAGUUGAUGUAUGCAAAUACAGAUUCAUCGAGUCAAGAAGGUCCUAACAGUUCAAACUACCGUGGUCGUGGUCGAGGCCGCUCUAACUGGAGAGGUCGAGGCCGUGGACGCUAUGGAGGGUUUCAGCAACAACGAGAAGCUUACAGACAAGGACGUGGAGGAGACGCUUCUCAUAUUACAUGUUUUCGAUGUGAUAAACUCGGACACUAUGUUCAAGACUGUCCGGACCUGAAGUUAAAAUUUCAGGAAACAAUUGAAAAGAAGAAAGAAGAUACGACUGAAGCUGAUGCCUUAAUGAUGAAUGAAAUUGUUUUCUUGAAUGAAAAGAACGUGAAUCCUAACCAGUUUGAGACCGAAUCAGAUUCUAAAGAUAUAUGGUAUCUUGACAAUGGAGCCAGCAAUCACAUGAGUGGCAAUCGUUUAUACUUUUACGAGCUUGAUGAUACCAUUACCGGCCAAGUACGUUUUGGAGACGAUUCAAGGGUUAAUAUCUUAGGAAAAGGAUCAGUUCGGUUCAUAAUCAAAGGAGGAGAGAAAAGGAAUCUCAAUAAUGUGUAUUAUAUACCUGCAUUGCGAAGUAAUAUAGUCAGUUUGGGGCAAGCAACGGAGGUAGGCUGUGAAGUAAGAAUGAAAGGUGAUACGUUGAUGCUAUUUGACAAGAGUGGAACAUUAAUGAUCCACACGACGCGAGCAAAGAACCGGCUGUACAAGGUUUCACUACAAGUUGACGCCUUACGAUGUUUACAGAUCAAAGACACGACAAAGCCUUCCUUAUGGCACGCAAGACUUGGUCAUAUAAGUCGAGAUACAAUAAAGAUGAUGGUUAAGAAGGACAUUGUCGUCGGAGUAUCCGAUGACAAUCAUAUCUCAGAGACAUGCGUCUCAUGCUUGAAAGGAAAGCAAACUAGGAAACCGUUUCCCCAAGCAACUUCUUAUAGAGCCGAUAAACCUCUUGAGUUGGUACAUGCGGAUCUUUGCGGACCCAUCACACCUUCAACACCAGCACACAAAAGGUAUAUCUUCGUGCUCAUUGAUGAUUAUUCACGGUACAUGUGGACCGUGCUGCUAAAGGAGAAAAGCGAAGCAUUUGAAAAAUUUAAGCGGUUUAAGUUACUUGCCGAACAAGAAACUCAAACAACGUUGAAAACGCUUCGAACAGACAGGGGAGGCGAGUUUGUCUCUCACGAUUUUCAAAGCUUAUGUGAUAAACACGGCAUCAAGCGACAUCUCACGGCACCAUACACGCCACAACAGAAUGGGGGUAGUGGAACGGCGUAAUCGAACUUUGUUAGAGAUGACAAGAAGUAUGUUAAAACAUAUGAACAUGCCAAACUUUCUUUGGGGAGAAACAAUAAGACACGCUACCUAUCUUAUAAAUAGGGUAGCCACAAGAUCACUAGAGGGAAGUACUCCAUAUGAAGCUCUAAAGAUGAGAAAGCCAAACCUCUCACACUUAAAAGUGUACGGAUGUGUGUGUUAUGCUAAAACCGACACGGCAGGAAGAAAGAAAUUGGAUGACAGGUCACGUGUUCUAGUUCACCUCGGGAUCGAGCCAGGGUCGAAGGCAUAUCGUCUUAUCGACCCAGACAGCAAACGAAUCGUUGUAAGUCGCGACGUUGUGUUCGACGAAGAAAAGGAAUGGGGAUGGAAUGAUAAAGGGAAGGCAAAGGAGAGUGAACGUGAGGAGUUUGAGAUAAACUUGCGACGUCUAACAGAAGUAACAGUAGAAGGAGAGGCAACAACUGAUGAAAGAGAGAAUGAAAGUGAUGAUGAGAAUGUCGAAGCCGAGAAUGACUUUGACAACGAAGAGAACGAUGAUCAAACGCAACCAAGGAGAUCAACAAGGAUCUCUACAAAGCCAUCCUAUCUCGACGAUUACAUUAUGUUAGCUGAAGUUGAAAGCGAGCAGCUACUGAUGAUCAUCAACGAUGAACCAUGGGAUUUUAAUGAGGCUAAGGAGCUAAAGGUCUGGAUUGAAGCCUGUAAAGAUGAAAUCUGUUCUAUAGAAAAGAACAAUACGUGGGAUCUCGUGGAGCUACCCGCAGGAGUUAAACCUAUAGGUUUAAAGUGGGUAUUUAAAAUAAAACGCAAUGCUGAUGGAACUAUUAACAAAUAUAAAGCUAGAUUGGUAGCUAAAGGAUACGUUCAAAGACAUGGUGUAGACUAUGAUGAAGUGUUCGCCCCGGUAGCACGCAUUGAGACUAUUAGGUUGAUCAUUGCCUUAGCGGGAUCACAAGGUUGGGAAGUACACCAUCUCGACGUCAAGACGGCGUUUCUACACGGGGAACUCAAGGAAGAAGUAUUUGUAAACCAACCUGAGGGCUUCGUUGUACCUGGUGAAGAACGUAAAGUUUAUAAGCUUAAAAGGGCUCUUUAUGGAUUGCGUCAAGCUCCUAGAGCAUGGAAUAUAAAGCUGAAUCAGAUACUGCAUGGUCUAAGCUUCCAGAGAUGUUCAAAGGAACCAUCUCUUUACCGAAAAGAAACGCAGCAAGAACUUCUUAUUGUGGUGGUUUAUGUAGAUGAUCUACUGGUUACAGGAUCAUCUCUUCGAGCUAUACUUGAAUUCAAACGAGAGAUGGCAAUGAAGUUUGAGAUGAGUGAUCUUGGCAAGUUAACAUAUUACUUGGGAAUAGAAGUUCUACAACACAGUGAAGGCAUCACACUCAAACAAGAUAGGUAUGCGUGCAAAAUCCUUGAGGAAGCUGGUAUGAGUUCGUGCAACUCAACUCAUGUGCCUAUGGAGAUGAAUGCACAAUUCUCAAAAGCGCCAGAGGAAGGGAAGAUCGAUGAAAAGGCGUAUCGCAGAGGCAUUGGAUGUCUUCGAUAUUUGCUCCAUACUCGUCCUGACCUGUCGUUUAGUGUAGGAGUACUCAGCAGGUACAUGCAGGAGCCUAAGGAAUCACAUGGGGCAGCUUUAAAGCAAAUACUCAGGUAUCUACGCGGAACCAGCUCUCUCGGAUUGUGUUAUUCACGCGGUGAAGAUGUGAAGCUGGUAGGCUAUAGCGACAGCUCGCAUAAUGUCGACAUAGACGAUGGAAAGAGCACUUGUGGUCACAUAUUUUAUCUUGGAAGGAGUCCAAUCACGUGGUGCUCUAUAAAACAGGAGAUAGUAGCAUUGUCUUCAUGCGAAGCUGAGUUUAUGGCGGCAACUGAGGCAGCUAAACAAGCUAUUUGGCUUCAAGAACUUCUAAGUGAAGCAGUCGGCAGUAAGAGCAAGCAAGUGGUUAUCAAAGUUGACAAUAAAUCUGCAAUUGCUCUCACAAAGAAUCCUGUGUUUCAUGGCCGGAGUAAACAUAUACAUAGACGGUUUCAUUUUAUAAGAGAAUGCGUGGAAAAGGAGCAAGUGGAAGUUGAACAUGUUCCCGGUAAUGAACAGAAGGCGGAUAUACUUACCAAAUCUCUUGGAAGAACAAAGUUUAAAGAAAUGAGAGAACUCAUUGGAGUUCAAGAUGUGUGUGAAGACAAGAUCAAGCUUAAGGGGGAGAAUGUUGAUAAGCUUGAAGUAGCUUAUAGAUAAAGCUAUCUGUUUAGGAAAUAGGAAAGUCCUUUGAUAAUUAGGAGUAUCUAGUUAUCAUAUGUUAUGUGAGUUUAGGACUUUAUAUUUCAUAUAUAAACCGAUGUCAAUGUGAGACAUACGGUGUGGAUUGUGAGUGAUUGAAAAGCUUAAGUUUUGUGAAGUUUCUUAAGCAUAAAUAAGAGAGUAUUCUUAUUUGAAGUUUGGUCUUUAUUUCCUAUAGUUGUGAUCCUUUAAAAAUCACAAAAAAAUUGUUUUCAGGCCAACACCCCAAAAUACAUUUUUCCGCCAAAACACAAAAAACGUGUUUUCCCGCCAAAAUCGCAAAAUGUGUUUUCCCGCCAAAAUUGCAAAAACGUAUUUUUUCGCCAAAACCAAAAAAUGUGUUUUCUCGCCAAAACCGAAAAUUUCUAUUUUCCCGCCAAAACCGAAAAAUCUUGUUUUUCUGCGAAACAAACAUAAGAUCCAUUUAGAUUAUUCAUCUAGAUGAGCUAUAUGGAUAGACAAACAAACAAUCACAAAAAUCUGAAUGAAUCAUUUGAAUAGAUCAUACAAAUGAAUCAUUUGGAUGGAGAUGACAAAUGGUGAAACAAACAGCCCCUCUAUCAACAACUCGCCCUCACAUGCAGAUAAGCUAUUUUGGAAGCUAUGUUCUUAGCGGCAUCAAAAUCUCUACUACUUGAUUCUUACCUAUAGACCUCAUUCUUCUCUAAUUCAAUAACUGAGGUUUGUUGUUUGAUCUUUAUUUCAAAACGUAUUUGUAUUGUUUAAUGUUGAGAUAUAUACGGUAAAAUAUUCAUGCUUAUUUCAAGCUGACAGAUUCUCCCGCAUUCGCUUUACCGUCCUAACUAAGUUUGUUGCAAUAACAGCGGUCACCCCUCUAAUACUGACUGAAUAUAAAUGUUUAGUAGAGGUUGAGAUCAUGACCGGGACAAAAGUAGGCGACCGAUUAUUGAUCCCUCGGAUAUAGCUUACCCCUCUUGACACUUUGCAUCCUUUCACAUUUUGUCGACGUCAAUAUCCCGUGCGGCUCUGCUAUGUGACGACAAUCGAUAAAAGUCAAGGAUAAAGUCUCAAACAAGCUGCUUUAUACCUCCCUAGGACGGGCUUCACUCACGGCCAGUUGUACAUUGCGUUAUCUCGAGUGACAUCACCGGAGGGGCUUAAGACACUAGACGAUACCUCUUGAGUCAGAUGGAGCUGAAGGAGUAACCAAUAUAGUCUAGAAAGAGAUCUUCAAGGGCCUCCAAAACACAAAGGUUAGCAUUUUUUUUUUUGCUAAAUCACAAAGGUUAGCAUUGAACUGGUUUAGUUAGUAUGCUAUUUCUGAAACGAUAUGUUUUCAAUUACUUACCUCAUCACUAUCAUCGCAGGGAAAGAAGGCAAUGUGGUAUUGAACAAUUGGCUUCGACCAAGAUAAUGUUUCAACGACUCGACUCUAUCUUCUCUUACCGUUUUCUAUUUACUACUUCGAUGAAAACCAUCAUCUUAGCGCUUUAAAAUAUAACUUACUACUAUAUGCCUACUAAAUAACUCCUAAAUAAAUAGAAUCAUCCAAGAAUAAACACUACUAUUUAAUAUACAAAAUGUAAAAAGAAUAAUUUACCUACAUGGCAGCUAAGCACUCACUUAUAUAAAAAUACAAAUUUGAUCAAAUGAAGCAUUCACACGAUAUUAGAUAACAAUUCCUCAAAAUAUGUUGUUGACUAAUUGAAAUACAUAAUAAGUAAAGGCUUAACUGUUGAGCUUAAAAUUUGUAAAAAAAAAUAUUAAGUAUAAAUUAAUGGCCACAACUGGAUACUCAAAAAAAAUGAUAUUAUUCCCAUAUUCUAGAACUAUAAUUAUUAACCACAAUAUUCAAUAUUCAAAAAUUUGCAAUCAAACAUUCGUCGCCUAUAUUGCUUUUUCUUUCUGUUUCUUAUUUCUCCAUUUUUUCCUUAUUAAUAAAUUUAUAACUGCCAUUAAUUAUAUAUUCCCUCCGUUUCAUUAAGAUAUAAGUUUUAGAAAAAAAAAAUGUUUUACAAAGAUAGAUUUUUUUUUAUGUUUUCUAUACAAAAUUACAAAUUUCAAUAAAAUUGAUUGGAUUUAUUGAAAAACUAUUGGUUAAAAAGCAUUAAUUUUUUUUAUAAUUUCAAAAAACAAUGUAUGAUUAAUGUGUUUUCUUAAUAUGUGUGAAAAUACUAGAACAUCAAUCUUUAAAAAACAGAGGGAGUAAUAUAUAAGCAAAUAUAACCAAAGAAAUAUCACACAAAGGAAACAAACAAAAGCCAAAAAAAACAACCUCCAUUGAUAGUAGUAGAUAUCUUAUUUUUUAGGACCAAAUCCGAUAGAUUAAUGUAUUUCAUAGUGUUAUAAAACUAAAACACAAUAAAACAUUAUAAUUUAGGAUUAAAACAGGACAAAAUAAGAAUGCAAUAUUUUUUAGUUAUAUAGUUGAAAUUUGUCGUAGAUAACAUAAUCAAAUUCACACUCAACUUAACAUAAAUGAAAAUUUACAAGAAAUAACAUCUUUAAUAAAAACUGAUCUAUCAAAUCCCGCCCGUAUGACGGACCUACCCUAGUAUAUAAAUAUAGAAUCCAAUCACACACCCUUAAUUUUUGUCAACAUCUUAAUAGCAAAACGAUAUGUUACUAUAUAAGACAAACCCAAUCCCUCACUAUAAAUACUCAGUAACACAUCUCAACAUUCUACAUACUCAGUUCAUACUUGCUACAAUUUCCUAACUUUGUUUGAUAAAAAUUCCAAAGACCCAACCCAAAUAUGGCUUGCAAAUUUCUUUGCCACCUAAUCACCUUCGCCAUCAUCACCUUCGUCGUCCAAGGUAUCUAUAUUUUGUAUACAAAGUAAAAAAAAAUAUUAUAACUGUAAUACAAUGUAUUCUUUGAUCACCAUAAGUCGAUGUUCCAUAUGUAUAUAUCACCAAAUAAAAAAAACAUUUGUAACAUAAAUUAUGCUGGAUUUGAACCCAUGUUGAUAUAUAGUGACACUAUCACAAAUUAGGCGGUUCACUUACAUGCGUUGGUCAUAUACCAAAUCUAAUUAGUUAAACCUUUUCUGAAAAAAAAAAUCUAAUUAGUGAACACGUAGACAAUUAUUUAGAACAUUUUUAUUAUUUAUUUUAACCAUUUAAUAUAAAACUUUUUUGUUUUUAAAUAAUAUUUUUGUUGGAAAUGUCAGGAUUAUGUGGACUUGAUAACGUUACUCUGAAACAAUCCAAGUCCGGAAUGGUUCAGAACAAACCAGUGUGGAAAGUGACAUUGAUGAACCCAUGUAGAUGCCCACUCACUAACCUAAAGUUGUCGUGCACUGGUUUCCAAUCGGUUGUACCCGUUGAUACGUUGACAAAAACUGGCGAUGUGUGUCUUCUCAAAAAAGAUAUACUUGGAACCUUCGUUUUCACAUACGUAUGGGACACUAGCUUCGAGCUCAAGGUCAUUAGUGGGACUAUUAAGUUCAAGGUCGUUAAUGGGACGAUCACUGGUUGUACAUGAAGCUUUCUAGCCCAACUGUUUUCGAGUUAAUUUGAACUUGGUUCAUGUUGAUUUAGUUUAUUUUGAGCGUAUGAAAAUGAUGAUAUUUACUCAAAUAU